AAGUAUAAAAUUUUGGUUGUAGCUACGCCGUAAAGUGUCUCUUAGCCACCGUUUGGUUGGGGGUUAAGGGGUUAGGGGUGGAAUAACCCCUUAACCCUCGAUUUAUACCCAAACACCACUCUUUUGGGAUGGGGUUAGUAAACCCCACCCCAAACUGGGUUAGUGGGGUUUACUAACCCCACUCCCCUCCCAAUUUUAAUCUCGCACGCAUCCCGAGCCUUCACCUUUUUCUUCUUUAUCAAUCAUUAACCCCACUCCCCCUCCCAACUUUAACCCCGCACGCAUCCCGAGCCCUCACAUUUUUCUUCUUUAUCAAUCAUUAACCCCACUCCCCCUCCCAACUUUAACCCCGCACGCAUCCCGAGCUCUCACAUUUUUCUUCUUUAUCAAUCAUUAUCUUCUUAUCCCACCUACUCCAACCAAACAUUUUUUUUUACUAUCCUAGACUAACUCCAACCUCCAACCAAACAAAAAAAUUUUUUAACACCAUUUUAACCCUGAACUUAACCCUAUUCCUGGAAUAGCUACUUUUUCUUAACCCCGAACCAAACGGGGGCUUAGGCUAUGAUUGUAAAAAUUCUGUUUCUUCAUGAAACAAAUAGAGUUAUAUUAAAGCAUUAAUCAAUAUUUCUGUAGAAUUACCAACCGUCUCUAGAGCAAGUGGCAAAAGGCUUGGUGGUUGGUACUCGAGACCUAAGUUCGAAUUCUAUUUGAUUUAUAUUUUCUGCUAAGUUUAUUUCUAAAUAAAAUAAAUGAAGCGGGUAGCGUGCUACCUAUCUCUCAAAUAAAAUAAAAAAAAAUUUUCUGUAGAAUUCACUAGUCCCACCAAAUCGAUAUUAUGAACAAUACCUAAUGAUGAAUUCGAAUUAUAUUGCUUGUACAUCUCCUCUCUCAUUUAACACAUUGAUGCUUAUCAUUAUUGCCACACCAAAUCAUUGUGUAGCUAAUUUAUAAUCCUCUAUGAUACAUCAAACCACAUUUAAAGCACCUCCAACAAUUCACAUAAAUGAUAGAACACCAGGUUAUUUAGAGGAUCCUAAAAAUUGUAUAAUUCGCAAGGCUUACUUAAAUUACUAGUCCUUCGAAAUCAAAAGCGUUUUUAAUUUUCAAAAUGAAACAAUCGUAAAAUGGAGCUCUCACGGCCCUUGACUCUUCUAAAUGGAGGGUCCAAAAAAACUUUGUAGCCCAAAAUUUAGUUUCUAAUUUAGGAUCGGGUUUAGUAAGCGCACUUUAUACCCGGUCCAAUAGAAGCCCAACUCACUCACCACUCUUUAUCAGGGGAAUGGCCCCAACAUCAGACUACUUCAUCCGCCGUCCAUCACAUAACUGGCACAACUCUUAAAGCAGCAUGUCAACGGCGGAUGGGGUUAGUCCCACACCAACCAAACCAUGAAAAUUAAUUAAUUUUUUUUAAAAAAACUGGUACGCCCUCUCGCUAUCCCUUUUUUUUUGGGUAUACUCGACAAUCUCUCCGCUUCUCUCCGAAUCCUCACCAGGUUGGUCGCCGUGUUCUUCGAAUUUCUUGUGUUUAUUUUAUUUUCUUCUUUAUUUCGUUUGAUUGUUUAAUUGUACGCCGGAUUCGUCGUUUCAUUGUUGUAUGCUUGUAGUUUUAGGGUUUGGAUUUUGGUCCGUGAUCUGGGGAUUUCCCCGAUUCAAUGCGAAACUAGAAGUAGGAAGAAAAAGGAAAAAGGAAAAACCCUAGGGUUCGAAGGUACCUGCAGAUGAAAAAAGAGUAUCAGGAUUGAUUUGUAUAUACUGUGUUGAUUUAUUUGGGUGAAAAAAAAUCACUAGUUGGAUGAUCCUCAUUUCGUUUCUUUUUAUUUUUUUUCUUAUUUUAUCCUGCUUUAAUUAGUUGCUCUUAUUGAUAAUCCAUUUGUUCUACGAAGGGUUGUUAGGAGUAAGUUUUUACCGCAAAAGCUGUGAAUUUUGCAGAAACUAAAUUUGAAUUCUAUUGAUGAUUCUGUGAACUUUUGGACUGUUCAUCAUUCAAAUCCUAUAUAGAAAACAUGAGGUGAUUACAGUAGUUUGAUGUUUCUUUUCUUUGAAAAUUUUGAAAAUUUCAGUUAUCUUAAAGCGUUUGAUCUUCUUAUCGAAAAAAAAUUAUCCUAUACUCUUUAGAGGGCUUGAUCUUUAUUUUUUUCCUCUCUUUCUUCUUUUUAUAUAUUAGCAAUGUCUUCGUAUGAAAAUGUUGUUCCUGGGAAGCUUAAGCUGAAGGGAAAAGCAUUAGAUGUUAAGGCGGGUGGGAUAAAGAAGAAAAAGAAACACAAGCAUCAUCAGGAUGGAGAGUCUCAAAGUGGAAAUAAUGAACUUCAAGCAGGUUAAUUUUUUGUACUUAGUACAAUGUUGCUAUUAUUCAUAGUUUAUUACAUGCUUCGUCUAUUAACAAGGGUCGUAUCAAUAAUAGUUGUGUUUAGCAAUCUCACAUGUGUAGUAGAGCUGAGAAUUUGUAUUGGUUGAUGCGCCUAACAUGUAAAAACUCGUAAAGUUGCACAUCAUGUAUACUCUUUUAAGUAAGAAGAAUUUUAAACUUGCUGCUAACCUGCUGUGGUGUGGAUCAGGUACAAUGAUCUUGGUUAGGGGCAGAUAAACAGCAAACUAGCAUAAAGCCAUAAAUUGUAGCAGAAAAACCUCUUAAACUGGUCGACUAACUUUGUUUUAUAUUCUCACUUGUAUUAUAUUAUCAGCUACUUGACAUGCAAGUGUGCAGGUCUCUGUAACCUUCCGCAACCUCGACCAUAUUAACUAUUUUCUUUGUCCGACUAGCUCACCGUAAAUCCCCUCCCUUAUCUGCACUCCUGCAUGAAAUAGAAGUAAAUAAUAAAUUAAUUAAUAAAUAUGUGAAUAAUACUCUAUUUCUCAUAACUAAAUAUCAAUGGAUCAAUUUCUUGGCCUUGCCAGGCGGAACAAAUUCUUUCUGGAGUCUUUAUAGGAUCCCAUCAACCUUGUGAGCUAUGCAAUUUGAUAGUAUAUUUUUGGGUAGAAAUUAUUAAUUUAAUCUUUUCAUCAGGGUGUGAAUUGCUCCAGUUUGAAGAUUGCCAUUAAUAUUAGAUAUGUUCUUCUCUAUCAUGUGACACAUUUGUUAGAUUUUUUUUUUCUCCAUUAAGGGUCUGUUUGUUUUACCGUAAGUGGGGUGGAAGUGGGAAGGGAAAGUAAUUUUCGGUGAAAACUAAUCACUUCCGUUGUUUGGUUCACCGUAAUUUUAUUACGCCCGAAAGUCUAGUUCACCCAAAAAGGUGAAAUUGACUUCGCCCUCCCACGGGGGCGAAGUCAAUUUCGGUGAAGUCGAAAAUAAAGCAAGAGUGGGUAAUGUGUUAGGGUAAUGUGUUAGGGUUAACUUUAGAAUUUUAUUUGUUGCAUUAUUAUAAUUUAUAUGCAAACAAAUAAUAUAAUUUUUUAAAAUUUUAUUUUAUAAUUAUACAUAUAUAUAUAAUUAUAUACAUAUAUAAUUAUAUUAAUUUUUAUUUAUUAUAAUUUAUUAUUAAUUAUAAGUUACAAAAUAAACAAUAAUUUCACUUCGGAGGUAACUAUACCAGGGAUGGAGAUAUACACUUUUUACGUCAUCUACUUUCUACCAAACAAACAACAGAACUCACAGAACUGCACUUCCACGGUUAGAAACAAACCGCAGAAGUGAAUUAAUUUUCACCCCAACUCCACUUCAACUCCAAGUCCACUUCCACCCCAAGUCUACUUACGUCGAAACAAACAUGCCCUAAAGUGAAAUUGUAUUCCUGGUAAUUUUAGCUAAAUCUGAUUCAUGCAUUCAGACUGGUAAUUUUGACUUUUAGGUGGAAGUUCGGAGUCAUUAGCUGAAACCAAUGAAGACUUGCCAAAGACCGAAAAGCUUGGGGGCGAAGAAAAUCCACCGACACAUGAUGAACACCUCACGCCAGCUGAGAGACGAUAUAUUGAACAGAGGGAGAGAAUCAACAUGCAUAGGCUGGCAAAGACCGCUAAUAAAUCACAUCGUGACCGGAUUGAGGGGUUCAAUCAGUAUCUUGCGAACCUCAGCGAGCAUUAUGACAUUCCGAAAGUCGGUCCUGGUUAGUUUGUUUAUGUAGGGUUGAGUGGAAAUAUAUCACACCGCUAUGAUGGUUCUUCGGUUAUCGCGAACUGUGUGGUGCUCUUUAUGAUGUUCUACUGUUGAGACCGUACUAUAGGGAGAAUUACUAUGCUAGCACAGACUCUUAGGUUAAAUCUUGGUAGUAAAUCCAAGAUUCUCCGUAAUGGUGUUUUCAUGUUCUGAUAUUUGUGUGUACUUGACGAAUCUGCUUAUUCUGUCUGAUUUUAUAUCAACUGGUUGCUUCAAGUUGAGUUUAUAUAAUAGUGUUAUUUAGAGUCCUAUUUAUUGGCACUACUUUUCAUAAUUGUCAUAAUUAGUUCAGGUUUAAUGCGGCCUAUAUUUAAAUGUACUGUAAAGUGCAUCAUGAAAUUGGUGUAAUCACGGCGAGCCUUUUUAUCUAUGGCCAGAAUCUGAGACAAUAGGAAAUAAAUGGAUUUACGCACUCUGCAUGUUUAUCAUGAAAUGGCACUGCUCAUGCAUUGUUGUGUUGUUUUAAACAAUUUGCUCUCAAUCUUUGAACCUCUGUUCUAUUUUUCCUUUUUCUUUCUUUGAGAAAAACUUGUCCGUUUUAAGCGUAAGGGCUCAUCUAUUGCUUGGUAAGGAGAAGAAUCUGAAUACUUCUGUUACACAGGUUUGAAGGGACCAAUGUUCGUUUUUUGGAUCAUCGAAUCUCAGUUCCCAUUAUGAGGUGAGAGUAUGGAGAGACCUUCACGGACUCGCAUGGUUAGUGACACAUUUUGUAAACUGCUAUUUGAUACAUUAUUUUACAUAUGAAAACUCCCAAUACAACCGCACCAAAAUCGGAUAUUAUUUGUUAAAAAAAAAAAAAAAGAAGAAGAAAUAUUAACAUCAGUACAGCAAAAUCUUGUUUGUUUCAACACCGUAGUCACGAGAUUUGGUUAUUCCAACUUCCAUUCACAAACAUACGAAGAUUGGCUUUUCGACUUAUUAGUGAUCUAAAUCCAAAAAUCUCUACAACACUGCUUUAUAUAUCCAACGGUAUUCCAACGGUCACUUCCGUUCCCCUCUCCUCUUCUUCCACCUCUCUCUCUCUCCCCAUUCUUAAUUCCUAACCAAACCCAAAUGGCUUCAUCAGCGACACUCCCUUUCUCCGUAAUCCCUCCACCCACCAUCACCACCUCCUCACCGAAACCCCCUCCGCCGCAAAACCCCAACCUCUCCGUCCUCCGCCUCUGCACCCACCUCCGCGAGGCCACCCAAGUCCAUGCCCUCAUGAUCAAAACCUCCCAAUCCUCCGACCCCUACUCCGCGGGGCGCCUCGCCGAAUUCUACGCCGUCUCCCCCGGCGGAAGCCUCGACUUCGCCGCGAAGCUCCUCGACACAUUCCGAGACCACCCACCGCCCAUGUUCAUAUACAACACCUUAAUGCGAGGGUACCUUCUCAAAAACCAUCCCCUGCAAUCCCUUCAUCUCUUCCGCGAAUUGCUCCUUGCGUCGGCCGAGCCCGAUCACUUCUCGUUCACUUUCGCACUCAAAGCUUGCACCCAAAUUCACGCUCUUCGCGCCGGAAUGCAGCUCCACGCCCAUGCAAUCAAGCGCGGGAUCGAUUCGAAUGCCCAUGCGCGCAACAAACUGAUCCAUUUAUAUGCAGUGUGCGGUGUCGUGCGCGAUGCUCGCAAGGUGUUUGAUGGAAUUACUGAACUGGACUUGGUUGCGUGGAACAGCAUGCUUGAAGGUUAUGCUGAUAACAAGGAUGGGGACUCUCUCCAUGAGCUGUUUGAUAGAAUGCCGGCUCGAGAUGUGGUCUCUUGGAAUACGCUGAUGGCGUAUUAUAUUGAGAUGGGCGAGUUUGAGGAGGCGGUGGAUACAUUCCGAUCGAUGCAGGAGAGUGGGGAAUGUUGCCCUAAUCGCGUGACUUUGGUUAGCGUGCUAUCCGCUAUCACCCAUUUGGGUGCGCUCGGUCAAGGCUUAUGGGCACACGCCUAUAUAAACAGAAACCAAAUUGAGCUCGAUGAGAACCUAAGUUCUUCGUUGAUUAAUAUGUAUUCUAAAUGCGGGUGUAUUGAGGGUGCAGUGUAUACAUUUCAUGCUACGAAUCGUAAGAGUGUGGAUACUUGGAAUGCUAUGAUAUCGGGUUUCACAGCAAACGGCCACAGCUUAAAAGCCGUCGAGGUUUUCUCCACCAUGGAAUCUUCCAAAGUGGGGCCGAACAAGAUUACCUUUGCUUGUGUGUUAAAUGCUUGUAGCCAUGGAGGAUUAAUUGACGAAGGAAUGAGGAAUUUUAGGAAAAUGACUGAAAUUUACAGGAUCGAGCCCGACAUUGGACAUUAUGGUUGCAUGGUGGAUCUUUUUACCCGUGCGGGCUUGUUCGAUAAGGCUGAAGAGUUGAUCCAAACCAUGCCAUUUGAACCCGAUUCUGUGAUGUGGAAAGCCAUACUCGGGGCCUGUAGGAUUCAUAAGAACUUUAUGCUGGGUGAGAAGGCCGGACUUAGGCUCAUUGAGGUGGCCCCAAAUGAUAAUGCUAGUUAUGUACUAUUAUCGAACAUAUAUGCGUUAUCGAGUAACUGGCGUGGGGUACAUAAGGUGAGAAAGAUGAUGUCCGAUAAAGGGAUUAAGAAAAUACCAGGGUGUAGUUCUAUUGAACUAGAUGGUGUGGUUCAUGAAUUCAUUGCAGGAGAUAAUGGUCAUCCAAGGAAGAGAGAGAUUUAUGAGAUGUUAAGUGAGAUGGGGGAGAAAUUGAAGCUUAAAGGAUAUGAGGCUGAUACUACCCAAGUGCUUCUUGAUAUUGAGGAGGAGGAAGUGAAGGAGAAUUCAUUAGCUCUCCAUAGUGAGAAGCUCGCAAUAGCCUUCGGACUUAUUAGCACAAGUCCGGGCACCACCAUUCGGAUCGUGAAGAACCUGCGAGUUUGCGGGGAUUGUCAUGCGGCUAUUAAGCUUCUCAGCAUGAUAUACGAUAGGGAUAUAAUAGUAAGAGACGCAAACCGGUUCCAUCACUUUAGAGAAGGAUCUUGUUCUUGUAUGGACUACUGGUAGCGUCUUAAUUUGAUUUACUAGCAGCAGGGAGGGGAUUAUGUGAAUGUUCAUUCAUAUUCUUUUCCAAUAUAAGAGGUUUAAGUUCUUCAUGCGCUCCAAUUGUGAAUAUUCCUACCUAAAAGCAUGAUGACAAAUUCUGUCGAACAGAGGAAUUGUUAGAAGAGCAUAAACCAGUAAGUUGUAAGAUGGUGUGUGUCAAUGGCUCAAGUUCAAACAGAGGAUCGAGGUGAGUCUUGAUCUGAACCAAAUAUUAUCUUGAUCUAAUCUUAUCCUAUAGUCUGAAAAGUUGAGAAGAACUUUGGCACUAAGGCAUCUGGUUUAAAUUGAUAAGAUGGUAAGGUAGCACUUAAACUGAAUCAAAUUACAGAGAUGAAAACAUAGUCCUAACUUUUAUUCAACCGACAUGUACUGUUAUAGAUAGUUCGAAAAAUGAUAAACAUGAUAAAUUUAGAGAGAAUUUGAGAAUAAUUCAUAUAAAUGCCAUUGAAAAAGCUUUCUUGAACUUCCACAAAUGGAAGAAAAGUAGUGGUUCUUGAAUAUCCUUGGGCCUAAUACCUUUACACAAGAUUGAUGAGAAUAAGUCCCUUAGUAGGGGCCUGGAAAUUGGUUUCCAGCUGGGGAAGGAUGGGAGAUGGAAGUGACAUUCUAUUACAACAAGGAUAGUACAAAUCUCUAGAGCAAUAGUUGUCCUCCAGUUUGUUAGCAAUCACAUCUAGUUCCUGGGGGAUCCAUCCACAGACAUCCACAGCUGGAUAAUUCUUAAAGUCAAAAAAAAAAGAAGAAAAAACAGAUCUCAACCAACUCAAGUUAAUGUUCAUCAAACUUUAUUAUGUUCAAACAGAUCUCCUCUGCUGUAAGAGUUUGUCAUAGGGCACAUGAAUGCUGUUUUCUGAUGUACACACUUCAAAUGUUAUGCCUGAGAUAUUGUGGCUCAUAUGUUUUGCCACAAAUUAAAAGAUCAUACACUCAAAAACAAAAGCACAAGUAAUAGCUCUCAAAUUUUGAUUUGAAUUAUCUGACGAACUUCUUUUAUUACUGCCUUUAUCAGUAACUGAACUCAAAAAAGAAGCUAUUAUAUGUGCGAUUUGUAUGCAUCUCAUUACAUCUUUGGCUGAUUUCCUGUUCAUAAAUCUUAUCACAAUUCUCUCAUUAUCUUUACAAGAGAAAAUAAUUGCAUACAAUGGUUAGUCAUUUUGAGGGACAUUUCAGUUAGGCAGUCUAUAACCUCUUUGAGUAAGCAAUGAAAUUUGCCAUCCAUGCAUGAUUAUUAUUUAUAAUGGUGCGACGUCGCUUACAACUGUAUUGAAGUGAUGAUGGGUUUUGAGAAUCCAAGGAUCCGUUUUGGAUGUUCUUAUGCAAAUUAUUGGUUGAAAGGAUUAUGCUUUGCUAAAACUCAAAAUAAUAUUAUUGCAUAAGUUUUAAGGGGGACAAACAGGCAGGUAGAUUCCACUUGUGGAACAUGUGGUUUAAGCAAUCUUUUAGCUUUUCCUUUUCGAAUAAAGGGGUUAUAUCUUGCAGAAAAUUUGCAAGAAGGUUUUCUGUGAUUGGAACCCUUGUAGCCCUGAUAUUAUGCAAAGAGCAAUGCACAAAUGGUUUUUUUUUUCUCUCUCUCUCUCUCUCUCUCUUUAUUUAGUAAGCAAGAGUCACAAAUGUUAUCUAAGCUCAAUUAUCCACAUCCAAUGAUUAAGAGUUAUGUUAUUAACUGAGCCAAAUUUACUACUGACGGAGAAAUUCACCGAAACUGAUCAUUGUUCACUUGCUAAAUUUGAUUAAAUAUGUAUACUUUGUUUUUUGUUUUUGUUUUUGUUUUUUUUUUUUGAGAGAUAGAUAGCAAGCUAUCCGCUUCGUUUAUUUCAUUUAGAAAUAAACUUAGAAAUGUGAACCAACUAGGAUUCGAACUUAGGUCUCGGGUAUCAACUAUCAAAUCUUUUGUUACUUGCUCUAGGGACGGUUGGUAAUGCGUAUACUUUGUUAAUAGGGCUUUUUCAGUAGUUAAGCACUCGAAAUCCUCUAUUUUCUAAACCAGCUGUGCACAAAUCAAGCUUCUGUUAUAUAUGAUUAUACGGGGAAAUAGGCACAAAAAUAGGUUACAAUCAAACAUAAGGAUGUGGACCACAUCUCUCACCUCUCUCUCUCUCUCUCUCUCUCUCUCUCUCUCUCUCUCUCUCCAAAAUAUAUCCUGUAAAAAUUGAAUAUGCAUAUUAAUUAUUAAAUAGUCUAGAACAGUGAAGCAGUACCAUUUCUUAGCUCAAUGCCAAUCAUUAAUGGGCCUUAUUAAAAACUCGGGUUGCGUAACUAGUCAUAGUGUACCCUUGGGACAAGUAUUUAACUAAUACAACUACUAAACAAUUUAUAUCCCCCCAAGGUGCUUAGCAACUUGCAAUUUAGUUAAUUAACACUCUUAUUUAGUAAAAUAAGACCAUCAGCGUACGCCAAGUGCGUAUAAUCAAGCUUAAAAAAUGCACAUGCCUUGCUGGUGAUUAUGAUUAAUGAUGAUAACCCAUCCGAGGAACGCCUAACCUAGACUUGUUUCCAAAAAUAAAACAUACAAACUAUAUAUAUGUAUGUAUCGAAAUAUAUUGCACAAUUCCUCUGGGGCUCAUUUUAUAGGCCGUGUCUCAACUAAUGCAUAAAUAAAUGUAUGUCACUCGAAGCAUUGUUUAAGCGCCACACUUCUGGGUCCACACCUGAUCAUAUGAUCUGGGUUCACUUAAUCUUUUAAUUUUAGGCCUAGUUUAUAAAUGCUUUUUUUUUUGUUUUUAUUUUUUACUAAAUGGACCGGGAGUAAUAAUCACUUAAAAGGGCAUUUGAGCACUGUGUAGGUGUACAUUUGAGUUAAUUUUCUAGUCAACAAACGUGGGAUGCAUGGUACUGUAUAUUAAUUAGAGGAGACCAUCUCACCGACACAAACUCUCUUAGUAAAAUACUUGGGAAAAUUAAGUCUCAUUAUAUCUCAUUGUAUCAUACACGUAUAUAUAUACACGUACAUAUACAUAUAUAUAUAUAUAUAUAUGGCUUAAGAGAUUCUCGUCGAAUCCUUCAGCAGAAGUAGCUUUGUCUUGUGCUUUAAGAUGGAUUUGGUUGUUUUAGUUUUUUUUUUAGCUUUUCCCAAAAGCAGAGCCAUGCCAACUAAUCGCAAAUACACUUGCUCAUUUGUUUACUCCUACAUGCAUCUUUAAUUGGCCACAUUAUGUUGUGGUAAUUAAGUGCCCCACCUAAAGUCCACUUACUAUUUAAGUUAAUUGAAUUAGAAAAUUUAGUAUUAAACUACUUUUUGGUGGGUGAAGGAAAUUUGAAUUUUGUUGAUAAUUAAUGAUGAACGGCUAAUAGCACAAUGAAGCUUAGCAAAAUGGGAAAAAAAACCGAAAAAAAUUAAAAAACCGCCGACAGAAAGAAGAAAAUCUGUUAAAUUAUAUGCUAGUAGAGAAUGGUUUUUUAAAUUCGACACUCCGCCUCACGUCUGGACUUAAAUUAAAUGAGAGAAAAUUAAAUUACAUUAGGAGCCUGACGAAACUCGAACUCAGAAUCUCUUAAUUUGAUAUCAUGCUAAAUUUCACAAAAUAAUCAUUUUUUUCAAAGAGUUUAAGAUAGCGGAGAGAAAGAUGCUGUAGUAUUUAUAUUCAACAAAAUCAAAGUUCAGGGGCAUGGUUCAAAAUGGCCAAUAGCUCAGGGGACUUCAUACAAAAGAUUGGCAAGGAAUAAUCUCUUACCCAUUCCAUCUUUCCAAGUCCUCUUCUUUAAAUUCACAUAGUAGAGGGAUCUUUUUGUCCAUUGUUUUUAUACUGUAGCAGGGGACUCCUUUAAGAAAAGGUGGGUAAGGUAAAUUAAAGGAAAGGUAAAGAGAAAGAAAAGAGGAUGAGGGGCUUGUUGUAACUUGUACAGUGAGAAAAGGUAAAGAGAGAAAUAACUUGUGUUUCACACCUAAUCAUCCCAAAUCAUUUCCCCUCUAAGGUUUUACAGCUACAUGUCUUGGAGCUUAAGGCUCAUAGUAGUUUAAUUAAUAAUAAAGGUAAAAAUAUAUAUGCACAUAUUAUCGGUCCCUAUACUAUUCAUAUAGUCAACUUAGUCGCUGUACUUUUUACUUAUAUAUUUUAGCAUCUGAACUUUUAUUUAUCUGCAAUAUAAUCUUUGUUCAAACUAUUUGAAAUUUUUUAAAAAAUUAAAGUUUUUUAUUUUAUGUUAGCGGAUUAAGAAACUUAAAUUUAAAGUAAAGGGAUGGAAUUGCUAUGAGGAGAGAGUAGAGGGAGUAAUAUUGCAUUCUUACACUUAAAUUAAGUUUUGGGGUUAAUUAAUAAUAAUAAAGUAAAAGUACAUGCAACGGGGGUUCCAUUAUUCUAAAGUUAGGUCGACUAAGCAAAGCACAAUUCCCAAUGCCAUAUAACAAAAGCAUCUCAAGUGGUAGGCUCAAAGUUAUCCUAGCAUGGUAACAUUAUAUUAGCAAAGACCCUAUGGAGGUUGUGACAUGAUUUUAUUAGAGAAAGUUUCAAUUGGUUUGAUUACCAAGGCAAGUAAAUUAUUAUCUUAUUUUCUCCUAUUGUGUUUUUGAUAUAUAUUUAUCUAGUCUUUGCAACUAAAUGAUAUGUUUUGUAGACUCGAACUCAUUAGUCUCUGUACAAAUUACCUGUUAGCGCGCACGCGCACGCACACGCACACGCACAAAAACUUUAUGUUUGUAAUCUUUACAUAUCUCUAAUUUUACGGUAAUUUUACGAUAUUGCAAAUCGAUUAGUAAAAUAAAAAAAAAAACACAUAUAUAAUAAUAGAAAUAUUGCUAGAAAUACAAAGUUUUUAAAAGUGAAGAAUACGGGGUGCCAAAUAUCUUAUUUGGCAAAAGCAAAUAUAUACACUUCCUUUUGUUUAAUUACAUGUAUAGUAUAUACAUUAAUUAAUGUACAAAGUACUUGGCACACGUAUGAUCCAUAUCAAAGGCGUAAUUUUAUACACGUACGUAUAUACGUGAGUGGUCCACAAAUGUGUAUUGAAGCAUCCACGCAGAUACCCCGACACAUAAAAAGCAUGAAACGCACACUAUAUGAAUAAUUUAGAAGCUGGGUUUAGAAAAAUUAAUAAUUUCUCAAUCUAACAAAUUAGAUGUGUUAACGUACGUGAGCUAAGUUUGUGUUAGAUUUAAUUGCUACUAACUAAUUAAAGAUGGGGUCCUGCUCUAUUUGUAUAGGGUAUGCCAAAUAUGGAAAGUUUUGUGUAUGAGAGAUAUGAAUCAUGGUAAUCAUUGACUUAAUUAUUUGGAAAAAUCCUAGGAAUGUUAAGGCAUUUUGGAGGUGGGAGAGUCAUUUGCACGUUAAGAUGGGAGGAUUAAACCCUCCAUUCCCAGUUGAAAUAUCAAUAAAUUUGAUGCCUACAUAUGAUCUUUGGUUCAUGUUAUUUUUCUUUGGACAUGUUAAUGAAUGUGAACUGGAUUGGAUCUUUAGAUGACCAAAAACAGUACGUUCAUCUAGAUCCAAAUGAAAUAUUAAUGGAUUAUGUUUUACUGUUCUACUUCAGAAGGUACAAUUUGAGAUUGAGUCAUCCCACUGUAGGAAAAAAAAAAAAAGUUCAUUCAUUCAAAGAGUCGAUAAAUAAAAAGUAAGUUACAUUUAUUUUUGUCGACCGUUUUAAUCAAAUAGUAUUUCUGUAAAAACUAUAGUUAGACUAAAACGAAAAAUGUCAAAUAGUAAGCGCUGACGAAUUGCUCAUAUUUGGCUUGAGAUUUUAUUAAACAAAGGUUGAUGCAAUUGGUUUAUUUGAUAAACAAGUCGAGCUCGAGCUUGUUGAUCAAGCUAAAAAAUGUAAGAUAAAAAAAGAUAAAUCGUAUGCGUGUUAUUAAACAGUAAAAAAAAAAAAAAAACUUGUAGCGGUUGGUACAACUCAUUCACACCGGUCACCCGACAAGGUUUAGUUCUUAGUAGGGUGGCAAACCAUUGUACAACAGUAAAGUUAAAAAAAAAAAAAAAAUCAUCUUUAGAUUCCUUUGACUCAUUUGCAAGAAUUAAAUAUAUUUACUCCUGGGAAAUUAAUUACUACAUGAUCUAGUACCUCUAACUUGAUACAAGCCCACCAAACUGUUAUUCAUUUGAAUUUGACUCAUGAAAUAAAUUUGAUUUGAUUAAAUUUAAAAAGAAUCACUAUUCACCUAAUGUCACCAACUCCUAUUUCUCCCAAGCAAGGCAUCAAAAUUAUGUUUACCAAUGUUGACCAAAAUAGUAUUAAUUUGCUUCUUUAUACAUGGUAAAUUCAUUAAGAAGAUAGUUAACACCUGUGCAUUAUUUUGCUCCCCUAUAUAUAAUAAUAAUAAUAAUAGUAAUAUAUUUGCAGUCAAAUAAUCAUGAAGUAUUAUUAUUUCCAGCAAUGCUCCUUGAGCAGAAAUGGAUAAAAUAAUAAGAGGGGUAAGUUGGCAAUGUCAGGAUGCUAGCUCAAAGCUUGUUAGAUGAUGUUAAAGGCAAAGUUAAACAGCAUAAUUAAAGAAUGGUUAGGAAAAGCUUAAAGAGACACAUUAAAAUAAGUUCCCUUGCAUUAAAGUAAUAAUAAGGGUGGUGGUGGGAGAGCUUUGGAGUGUCUUCCUUUCCUCUUUUUCUAAGUUCAGUGGCGGUGGUUAAUCAUUCAAUUGCUCUCUCUCUCUCAAUUAUUUAUUACCUGGACCUGGUCCACCAUGGAACUGUUCUUGAAAAUUCUAGACAUCUAAUAAAAGUGUUAUAGGGCACCAAGCCACCGUAGUCUAGGUGAUUAAUGUGCUCAACUAGAUGCUUAAAUUCUUGAAUGUAAUGAUUUGAUUUAAUAGCCUUUUUCAUGUCGAGGGUAGGUGAAAUAAUGCUGUUUAUCAGCAUGUAUAAAAAAAAAAAAAAUCUUAAUAAAGAAAAUUUUAAAAGUAUAAAUAUUUAUGUCUUAUGUAGAAAAAAAAAACGUCUUCUCUGCUUAAUACCUAUACUGUCCAUUUCAACUAUAAUUUUUAUCACAAUUUUUUGAAUGUUUUUGAUUUUUUAAUAAAUUAUUAAUAUAUCAAUCAUCUUAUGUUGUAUUGCAGAUAAUAAUUUUAGCUCAAUCAAAACUACGUAUUCAUAUAUAUUAACAAAUCAACAAUAAAAGAGGACAUUCUGGAUGAUCCACAGUAUUACUUCUUCUUUUUUUUUUUUGAAACACAUAUAUUUUAGAAAUUAUAAAUCAUAUUUACCCAUUCACAGUUUGAUUUGAGAGUUUCCUAUAACUGAACUAUAGGGACAGUUUUCAGAAUGUUGUGGUGGACCAAGCCCAGAAAAUAAUCUCUCAUCUCUCUCUUUCUUGUAUGCUUGGGUAUAAAUGCAAGCAACCUUUACCACCUCUAUCUCUCUCUCUCUCUCUCUCUCUAUCUCUAUCUAAAAACAGAAGGGGACCUCAGUAUAUCUCCUGCCUUGCUCUCAUUGGAGGUUGGGACAUGGCAAGGAAAGGCUUCAUGGAGGGCAGAGUGUUAAAAGUAGAGGGAAUCUGAAGUGGGUAUCUUUUCUUUUCCCCACUUUUUUCCUCAGUGUGGCUGUUUCCCUUUGCACUCCAUCAACCUCUCAAACUCUCUUAAACACCAACUUCUAAGAGGCAAAAAAACAGGGAGCUGUGAAAGACUGGGUUCUGCUCUAAUGAUCUCUGAGGCCAAUGUGCUGUUUAAUUAUUAUUAUCUUCUAUCAAUUUGGAUUUGUCAGCUGUAGUUAGUUUCCAUCUGGGGGUAAGAAAAAGAUUUUUUUUCUUCUUCUUCUUCUUUUUGCUGCUUUUUGGGAUUUUUUUUUUUUUUUUUUUUUUUCUGAGUCUAGACAUUGGCUUCUUGUGCCAGCUGGGUUGUGCCUAUUAAGGAUUCUCUCUUUGGUUGAUCAGGCAGUUUUGGUGAAAGAGCAGCUUCUGCAGUCUAUCCUGUUUCUUCUAUUUAUAUAGCUUUUCUCAUUCUGCCUUCUUUUUUUUCUUUUUUUUAAAGAGAGAUUAGGUGGUAAAUUUAUUCUGAAAAACUAGUGAUCUCUGGAAUGGGCAAAAGCCUUGUUAUUUAGCUAACUUAUUGCCUGGUGGUGUUGCUGGGAAGUGACCUGUUGAUUCCAUCUGUUUCCUCUUAAUGGAAUACUAAAUAUUCCCCACACCAAACACUCUCAUCUUUUGGUUAAACCCUUUUCACCCCUCAUUUGAUCUCUCUCAAUCUAAGAUAACCCCCACCCCCCCCCCACCUUUACUGAUCUCUGAGUUUGUGGGGUGUUGUUGAGGGUGCUGAGAUUAGGGUUAGGGUUGUGUCAGCAAAGAGGAUGGAUAUGAAUGAGAAGGAGAAGCUGGGGUUGGAGAAAAAUGAGGAUCAUAUGAGCUACCAUGCUUCUGACAUCUCAACAGCUUGGCAGCAAUUCAACAGUUCAUCAGGAGCAAUUGGUCAAGAGAUUCAGAUGGGCUCUGCUACAUGCCCAUCAAAUCCCAUGGUGGAUUCCUUCAAUCCAAGCCUCUGGAACCACCACCCAUCCUCGCAAAAUUUGGUGGGCUUGUCCGAAAACAAUGCUCAUGUAGGAAACCCCCCCAUGGGCUUGAACCCUUCGAGUUUUUUCCCGAAAGGAGGGACUUUCUUGCCGUCGCUUCCGAAGAUCCCUCCUCCCCCAAUCCUUCCUCAUUUCUCGGCCGACACCGGUUUCAUCGAGCGCGCCGCGAGGUUCUCGUGCUUCGGCAGUGGCAAUCUGAGCGGCAUGGUGAAUCCUUUCGGUGCUUCUGAAAUUUUGAGCCCUUACGCCAAUCCGUCGAAAUUUUCGGGUCAAAAGAGCGAAAUGAGUGUCGACGAAGCUUCCGAGAAUGCCCCCUUGCCUGUGAAUGAUCAUUUAUCAAGCAUUAGGAGCCCGAGGGAACGGAGAGAUGAUGCGAACAGCUUGCGCGAAUCGGCCGAGCCUGAAUUUAGUGGAGGUGGUGAAGAGGAGGCACCUAAUUUGGCCACUGCAGCUCGAGAUAAUAGCUCUUCGAAAGGGCCUAAUGCUAAGAAGAGGAAAAGGUCCAAUCAGGUAAACCAUAAUUACAUUUUCUUCAACUAUAUUCAGAGUUGUGUGUGUUGCUUUUUGCUUGUUCUUAAGCUAUACAUGUCACAAACAUGGAGAUCAAGAAAUAUUUAUUGUUCACUAAAGGGCGGUGCGGAAACGGAACAAGUUGAAGGAGCCCCACAAGUGCCAAUUGAAACCACAAAGGAGAAUAUGGACAAUAAACAAAAGAAUGAACAGAAUAGCUCAACUGUGGGGACUAGCAAGGCUUCUGGGAAACAAGCCAAGGAUAAUUCUGAUUUGCCCAAAGAAGAUUACAUUCAUGUAAGAGCUCGCCGCGGCCAAGCAACUAAUAGCCACAGCCUUGCAGAAAGGGUAGGGUUCCUUUUCAAUUUGUUUCAGCAUUUGGAGCUCUAGGGUUUUGCGUCUCUAGUUAUUUGCAGUAAGAGAUUUGGUUUUGAUGGUUUUGAUGCUUUCUUAUGCAGUUGAGGAGGGAAAAAAUUAGUGAAAGGAUGAAGUUUCUGCAAGACCUUGUUCCUGGUUGCAGUAAAGUUAGUCUUUCUACAUAAUUACCUCUAGGUUUCUGAUCCGUAAAUUCUAAUCAAUAUACAUUCACUCCCUUUCUGAACUUGUGAGUUCAGGUUACCGGAAAGGCAGUUAUGCUGGACGAAAUAAUCAACUAUGUUCAAUCUCUACAACGACAGGUCGAGGUAAGAAAACUCUUGUAAAGCAACUAAUUCCAGAUAGAGUCUCUGAUUAUUUAUAUGGACAAUUCUCUAAGAGGAAAUUUCUGUUUCUAUUUCCUUUUUUCUGUUUCCAGUUUUUGUCCAUGAAGCUUGCUGCUGUUAAUCCAAGACUAGACUUCAACAUAGAAGGACUACUUUCUAAGGAAGUACGUAUCGCUGAGGGCUUUUAUGCUUGUAAUUUGGAAAUUCUCAAGCUUCACCUAAUCUUUUUUCUUAUUUCUAGUUACGUCGAUAAUCAUGAUGACAAACGGAUCGUAUUUUACUUAGUUGGGUAAUUUUCUCUUUCCUUUUUUCUUUUAACAGCUUUUCUCCCGCGGUGGUCCUUCAUCGGCAAUUGGCUUCUCACCAGAUAUGAUCCAUCCUCAUCUACAUCCAUCUCAACAUGGCAUGGUUCAAGCUGGGAUGCCAAGCAUUGCAAACCCUUCAGAUGUGCUUAGAAGAGUUAUGAAUGCUCAACCAACUUCCAUCAAUGGAUAUAAAGAACCUACAUCUCAGGUUUUACAGCUCUCUAUCUCUGUCUUUUCAGCACAAGUAUAUCAUAAUCUACUCAAAAAAAAAAAAAUCAUAAUCUUGCGCAUGUUAUUAUGAGCAACAAUCAAGAUAUGUUGAUUAUAUCUUAGGAUGUGUUAAUGUAUCAUUCGAGGUGCUAUUAUGAGAUGCACUUUGACAGAAUCCUGGUACUAAAGUUGGCAAUUUUACUAUUUAGAUCUUUCCAAGCUAAAAAUACUUAAUCAUUCAAUCCAAAAUAGUGGUAUUGUAAUAAAACUACUACCAAAAAAUUUGUUCAGAAAAUGUUCUUAUUUUUCUGUUUCGAGAAUUGAUGCUCCACAAAUAACCACAUUAUGUUUCUUUCAAAUUCAUCAAGUAUUCACAUUUAUAAUUAGCAUUAACAAAUUACAGCCUCUGGUUUUGAAAUCAUUGAACAGAUGCCUAAUACAUGGGAUGAAGAGCUCCAAAACGUCAUGCAAAUGAGUUAUCCACCUCUCAACGCUCAAGAGUUAAACAGUAAACCUCGAGAUGGAUUUCCCUUAUGAAGUUGCAUCCAUGUUCAUGUUCCUGAAGAUCAUACAUUUAUAUAUAUGGCAGUAAAGCGCACCCACCUGUUCAUAUGGAACUCAAGCUGUGACCGCUACAUGGAUGCAUGGUAAGCUUAUCGCAGUAUGCAUGUGUUUUUCUUCAAAGAAGUCAGUGAAGCUUAUACAUAGUCAAAGAUGCAGGGUUCAUAAUGGAAGAGUCACUGUUUUCUCUAUCCGCAUUUAUAUCGAAAGGUUGGUUGUUGUUGCUUUCUUGUAUAGCAACUUAAGGACUGCUUCCUCCUAAGACCAAGUUGCAUUCUUUAAUUGCUUUAUUUCUUUGAUUAGGCACUUUAAUGCACCAAAAAAAAAAAGGGUGAGAAUUAAGGGAGAAUGAAUUCUCUCUUUCUUCCCCUCUCUUGAAUUACAGUUGUAGAGUCACUUGCAUGCCUUUUUUUUAUUCAGUACUAUAAAGGGAUUUCUCAUAAAAUGGAUGUAUAACCUGGACUGCUUUGGUUUUUAGUAUGAAAAUGUUCUUCGGGAUAAAAUCUUUUUGUAUGUCUGUUGAUAUUAAAAGCAGAUAUCAUAUAUCAUUUUUUGUAUUCUUUUAAUGAAAAAGGGCCUCCACCCUUAUAUUUGAUGUAGUAUUUCCUCUUCUCAUGACAUCUGAAAAUUGCUUUUGUUUUACCUUCUUCAUUUUCCUUCUUCGGUGACAACACAGAGACUUAUGGGGGAAGCAGUUGCUGUCUUGAAUGCUUCUGACUAAUCACAUCUUAUAUAUGAUUAGCAGUAUAUAACAGGAUGCCAUUAUAGAUGAUUCAAUCCGCUUAACAAAUCAGUAUCUUAGGAAUUGAGUUCUCCAAGCACAUGUAUGAAGUUGGAUUGAGUUAACUGAGGAGUUCCUUUUCGCCCACUUCUUACUGAUUGGAUCUGAAAGGAAUCGGUGAUUGCUAGCAGACCAAAGUAGGAAUAUAGCAGAAUGGAGAUUCUGUAAGCUAUGGCAUGAAUAAGAACUUUUUUUAAAAUGCAAAUAUUGCUCAAAGAAAUGCUUCUCGUAAUUGUCAAAUAGAAACAUGGCUUGUGCUGUUUUAGUAGAAAUCAAAGCGAAAAGGAUAACAACAUGCUUGUGGUGGUUUUACAGAGAGGUUUAGAGGAUACAAUUUCAGUUUUGCAAGCUUUCAAACAUAGUGUAUGCCUUAGGCUAUGCCCAUGAUAACAUCCAAAGCCAACCCAUCUCAUAGUGUUGAUGUUGGAUUAAUAAUUCACUUUGUUGUAUCUUAGAAAUGCAGAAAUUCUCCCAUAUCACAAUUUUUAAUCUUGGGAUGUGAAAUAGGAAUCCUGCCAUUUGUACCAAAGUUGUCUUAGUAUGCAUUAUGAACCUUUAAACAAAAAUAAAAAAGAAAAGAAAAACAAAAGGUUCGAGCAGCAGCUUGAAUGACAUCAAAACAAAAAUAGUAUUUUAAUUUGUGGAACAAAGAACAGUAAGUUACAUGCAGCUAAAAGGACCUGAGCUGUAUUUUAAUGAACAGUAAUUAAGUGCAUUUUUCUAUGUGAAGUACAGCACUGAAAUAAAUGAAGUAUCUGCAUGCAUGUAUAAAGUUCUGUGACCUGGUAAAUUCUACCUAUAGAAAAGGCCAUUAUAUAAGUCAAAGAAUAAGACAGUUUGGCACCUCAAAAGCAAAUUUAAAAUGCUCUCUGUUUUCUUGUCUGAUGAGGACAACAAAUAGAUGUUUUAUGCAAGAAAUAUUACAUUGCAUAAAAUGAACCUCGAGUAAUGCAAAAUUAAUCACUUCAAGGAUAUUAUGGAAAAUCUUAGUCGGCUACUUAAUAUAAUAAGCACAGUAAAUCAGUGACUAUUCUUUGUGCUAGUACUGCAUCUGACAAAAUGUAGUUGAUAAACAACCUCUCGGACGAGCAAAAGAGUUUCAAAAGAUGCCAAGAACUAGAUGGAUCAUGUUGUAACACUCUAUGGUCUCAAUGGUGAACUAGGUCCUAAGGAAUCCUGUUUUCAAAUUCAUACAAUUUAUCAUUUGAUUGAGAGACAUUUCAAUUUAUUCACAGAUAACAACAGGCAUGAGCAAAGAAAAUACAUUACUUCCUAAACAAUCAACUUCUCAAGAUUCAUGUGGUAUCACAUGUAAUUAUAGGAAAAUUUAAUUCAACAAUUGGAAACGCAUGUAGAUCUUCAGUGACUUUGAGCCAGAGAAUUCAUAUAGCACACAGAGCAUUACAUAGAAACAUUCAACCUGAACCUCUCUAUACCGACUCCUCUUGGGCUGACCAUUCAUUCUGCACGAGCAAAAUCACAUGAAUAAACACAAUCAAACUGAUGAGGAAAAUAUCUGUUAUAUCAGCAAGGGGAAAACAGGAGGAUGGGCAAGAAAGAGAGAUAACGAAAUCAUAAAAAACUGAAUGCAGCAAGGCAUGCUUAUCAUAGCUGAAAUAGCUAGCUCUAGGGCACGCUUUAUAAGAGAAGAUGUACCAACACAAUUUAAUUUAACCUUUCAAUUAUGAAGACUUGCCUGAAAUUGGCUGCAAAUGUCUAUGACUUCACCAAUAGGAGCCCAAUCUCCGAAGUUCCUCUCAAUAAACUGAUAAGCGAUACCAGUUUUUCCACGGCCAACAAUGAAAAGACCACCUUUAAUCUCACCUUCUCCUCUGAAGUUUUGAUCUAAUCCAGUAGACUUGGCGCGCUUGUAAUUGGCAAUUGCACGAGGAUUAAAAACAAAACCAGUUAGAAACUUGUCUUUUAACAGGUCUCCACCUCCUAAUGCUUUAAAGAAAUCCUUCCCUUGAUCAAGAACAACAACCCCACCCCAAUAUCGAGGCCAAAAAUCUCUAACCUGUAAUAGUUAACACCGUUAUUUAGCUUAAUGUAAUGGGUAAACGAAAAAAACCAAAUUUGAAGAAUCAGGGAUCACCUCUUGUUCUAUUUGUUCAUGCAGAACAGCAAUCAACUGAAACCCCAGUGCAUCAAAUACAGGUUUCCUUGCAUAAAGCUGAUGAGCUUCAGCUCGGCACAUAAUGCACCUAUAAUGGAACAAGAAAAUCAAUAUAGAAAUUUAAAGGUGAACCACGUUUAACAAGCAACUUCUAUAAGAUGAUAACUGUGCUGCAAAUCAAGUCCCAAAAGUUUGACAGUGAUUUCAAUUACCUCUGAGUGUUUCAAUUAUAACAAUUUAGUCACUUUAAUUUAACUUCAAUCUCAAUUUUGUUCAAGAAUUUCAAUAUUGAACAUAUAGCCCCUGAAGUAUAAUGCUGUUUUUAUUUUUUUUUUUGAAGUAAUAUCGCUGAUUUCUAUCUCAUCUACACAGUUUCAAUUUUAACAAAGCAAACUCUAUUGCCAGUGCUCAUAUGACUUCUCUUUCCCUUUGUUUCCUUUUCUUUCUUUCUUUCUUUUUUGAUAAAACACAUGACCUCUAUCAACCUGUAGAUUAACGAAAAUGCUUACUUAUUAUGUGAGAAAAAAUCAUGGAAUAAAUUGUUUACUUUGCGGGCACAGUUGAAAAGAGUCAAAUUCAGGAACCAGAUUUGCACAACCCAAUUAAGUUGCCAAGCAAGAAUUCUAAUUAGAAUUACCCAGGGCGACGAAUGCAGAGAAGAACAACCGGCUGAUCACGCCAUAAUUCCGAAGCUCUCAUAGGUGGGGCUUUUGCUUCCACCAAGCGGUGCAUACCGACUUUAUACUCAGGAGUAAGCUUCUGAACCGAUAUGUUCUCUAUCGUAGAAUAAGGAGCUACACUAUCCACCACAGGAGGUGGCUGGACACAACCGCAUAACCUUGGGUCAGCAGGUUCGGAAGCAACAAUUCCCUUAAAGACGUACCCUUCUUUCCUAAUUACAUCACUCCUAGAUUUGUCUGUUGACUCUUCUUGCUUUGAGCUUUGCUUUGCGGAAGAUAUUGCACUUUGCUUCCUCCUUAAAUCUCUAGAAGCCUCAUUAUCCUGUGUGCUUCUACUGAUGGAAGAUAAUGUUCUUUCCCUUGCUGGGAAAGAAUGUGAAGGUGGUAUUGGUACAUGACAGGUGAUUGUUCUAUCAAUGAAACGAGCAACGUGGCCCCUCUUCAUGUCGAAUUGUGUAGCGAGAGUCGAAGUGCUUAGAGUGAGCAGCUCGGCCAGAGACAUCCUAGAGACUUCAAGCCUGUCGGCAUACUCCAUCAAGGAACGGUCAUGGAGGUAUGACCUGAGUUCAAGCGCGUCCUAUAGAGAAUUAUGAAGUUUCAUCAUUUAUGCCAUAAAAUAGAUAACAUCUUGGGACAAAUAUCAAUUAAAUUUGGCAGAAAUCAUAAACAAAAAUGAAAUAUACAAGAAAGUCAUACAAAGUGACUUAAAAGAGAAUUGAUGCUUCAUUCUUGAAAUUGGAAAGCCUUCUUCAAUUCGAAAAUCAGUAACAAUUUGAACCCAAAAGUAGAAGCUGUCAUAUAAAUUUUCUGUUUCUGAUUGCCGCAAAAAGCUACUAGGAGGGAUAUGAAUGUAAAGGUUAUUAUGGCUUCUUUAGGCAGCUUUACUCGCACAAUAUUUCUACAGGUAAAAAAGGAUCAAGCAGGUCCUAACUCCAGCAAACAAAAGAAACCCCAAGGGAAAGAGAAUGCUAAAAUAAAUCACUUAUUUCAAUGGAUAUCACUUUUCCUUUAUUCCUUUCUAUGAAAGCUUAUUAGUCCGUGAUUAAUAACGAUUUCCUUAAUUUACAUGUAUAGAAUAAUAAUAGUAAAUCAGAUGAUUGAGUUUCUCAAAAAGAUCCAUUCUAAUUCCCAUGGAGCUUCCGCAUAACUAAGGGUGAACCAACAAAGCAACAAUAAAAACUCAAUCCACCAAUGAUUCAGUCCAAAAUUCAAUUUCAACCAAAAAAAAAAAAAGAUAUCCAAAUUUUCUUGAAUUCCUAGAAUUGCCAGAUAAACUAAAAUUGACAAUGAUAAUCUUUUACCUUCUGGUGCUGUGUAAACUUCAUAUGAUCCAUAUCUUGAAAAUUCAUCAUCUUAAGCGUGGGCACAUCAUCCCAACCCUCCUCAACAAGCUUAGGAAUGAGCCCUUUUAGGGUUCCAUCCCCAACAAACUCCUCCACCGAGUAUGAUCCCAUCUUUUUCUUACUCAAGGAUUGAGAUGAGAGCAAAUUAAACUCAAAAGAACAAGAUUAAGCUUUUAACUUCCCAAUUUUGUAACAGGUUGAAGUCUCAAAACAUGGUUUAUAUAAACUUGCUUGAUUGAGAACGAAUUAUUUGUUUACUAAUCCAUCAGGAAGAAAAGUCAGAGAGCAUAUGCGUCCAAAAGCCUUGUUACUUUUUUAUUAAUUCUACAAACAUACCAAGGAAGAUAUGGGGAGAAAGAGUCAGAGGUGACAUCAACUUAACGUUGUGGACGUCCAAAUGGCAAGAGAGAAAAGAUUUAACAAAGAAAUAAGUAAUGUAUUUAUGAAAAAUGGAAAAUUCUGGUAAAACAUUUCUUAUUACCACCCUUUCCAUGCACUUUAAUCCCCGUUUGGCUUCGUAUUUACUCGUAUUUCGAACAACAGGAAAGUUCGGUAUUUCUGUUGCGAUAGAAAUAAAAAAGAUCAAAAUUUUGAGAUCCAAAACAUGAGCUUUGAGAAUUAAAUCAAACAAAUUCAAAACAGUACUUUUUCAAAAGAAUAUUUUUUUAAGUGUUAUUUUGUUGGAUAAAAUAGGUCCUUAAUCUAAGAUAAAUACAAAUGUAAUAAGGGGAUUGAAAGCGAAGGUUAGGGUCCAAAUGAACAGAAACAAGAAGAAUAAAAGCUUUGAAAAUAACAUGAGCCGCAAAUAGAGGAAGGUAUGAGUGAUGUGAAAGGAGACGAAUUGGUCUCAGUAGUUGAAAAGUCAUAUGACUCGAAUUGAUCAUACUUUUUCUGUAAUUCUUUUUGAACAAGAAAUGUUUCAUGUUUCUACGUAUCUUCAUAGAACUACAAAGAGAAACAGAGAACAACCAAAAAGAAGCUAAUUUUUUUUUAACUCAAUAGGGAGCAAAUACAAAAUUAAACCUUGGAAACCCAUCGAGUUAUCAAGAACACAGCAAAGCCGCGAAAUCACCUCAUGGUGAAUCUUCGGACAUGGGGGGUCGGACGCUACAAUCGCAUCGGAAUCCAAGCAAUUCGUGGCGCCGCCAUGGCCGCCGAAGCUCCGACGCGAUUGCUUAACCAAUCCAAAACCAAUUAAAACCAAGAGAGAGGGGAGGAGUUGAUAAUGUAUGAGAAAUAAAGGCUCAAGAAAAUGAUGAGCGGUCCAAUUUUUACCGAUUUGGUUCGCUCGAAGAAGAAGGGAUUGAUCCGGAACGGUAAUUUUUAGACCUAAGGUACCGCAUUGAUCGAGAUUGGGCAUCGGCUCUUCGUUCUGCGACAUCGCCCCUACCACCCCCGCAAAACCCUAACCCUAACCCUAAAUACAAUGGCGUCGUUCGUAGGAGAGAAUCGGUGAAGGUGGUGAGUCGAGGAGAGGUGUGUGUAUUUAUAGGCGAACGCUUGUCCCGCCAAGCUGUCUUCGACCGUUGGAGUUUCUUUUUUUUUUUUCUUUUUUUUUUGGGUAAAAAAAAAACUUAUAAAAUGUUGGAAAAUUAUGAAAAUUAUAAUAAUUUUGUUUGAAUUUAUCGUUUCGUCCAGCACACUAAACUUGAUUGUAUGUAUUUUGAUAAUUAUUUUUAUUUUUUAAUAUUCCUAAAUAAUUAAAGAUAAGUAGCCAAUUAAUGAUAAUGAAUAGAAAUAGAUAACCAUUGUUAAAAAAAAUAUUUUAAAAAAAUUGCAAAGUUUAGACACUAUAAAUUUGCCCCUUUAAAAUUUUAAUUUAUGAAUAUUUUUUUUCAAAUUUAAAAUAUUACGUAUCGCUCUUAAAAAUUAUCUUUUCCAAUUUCUUCAAGAAUUUAGAAUUUGUGACGUAUGUUUUUUUUCAUAGGAUGACAUGAUUCAUGAAGAAUGUUGAUUAAAAAAAUAGAGACAAUAAGAUAACAAAAUAAUUAUUUAAAAAUUCAACUAAUAAAAUUUACAAAUUUUAAACAUUUGGAUAAAUAUGUUUGAUAAAUUUCACUAUUUAUAGACAAUUUUCUCUAUUUUUAAUUGCAGGCCCUUCUUUUUCCAACUCCGCCACCUCGGAGGAGAGGAGACGAGGGGAGGAGAGGGGGAAAAAAAAUAAAAAAUAAAAAAUAAUCCCCCUUUCUCUUCUCCUCUCCUACGAUCCAAAUUCCCCAGCAAACCCUAAUCGAUCUCAUCACUACUUCCUAAUUGAGAGCGAUAGGAUAAGCUUUGGUCCCUUUCUUUUUUUAUUUUUUAUUUUUUCCGAGUCGAUUCGCAUAUUGUAUCGGUUGAUAGUCUUAAACGGUACGAAAAGGAAAUAUUUUUGGGAAAAGUAGAAGGAGAACCAUCAAUUUCCCUUCUUUAAUUCUUUGUGUUAGGUUCUGUGGCCAAUCUCUGUCAAAAGAUUGUUUUUUUGGCCCUCAAUUUGUGAUUCGUUCGCGUAACGUAGAAAUUUUUCCUUUUGAGUUUUGGUAGGUGCGUUUGUUCAAAGGGAUCUAUUAAAUUGCUUUUUGGUUCAUUAUGAUUUCAAUUUCCAGUUUUCUUUAGGGUUUCUAAGGUAUACUAUCUUUAGAUUUGGGUUUAGGUCAUUGAUGAGCUAUUAAGCUGAAAAAAAAUCUGAUAUUGGUUCCCUUCCAUUUUUUCAUUUCUAGUUUAUUUUUAUUUUUUAUUCUUUUCUGGUUUCCUGAUUUUGUUGGUCUAGAGAAUCAGAGUCAUUGUAAGAUCUUGUUUAAUUGAAAAGUUUCAGCAAGAUUCUCUUUUUCUUUCCCCCUUCAAAACUGUUUUAAUUGGAGUAUAUAAACAUGACUACUGGGAGCUUUAAUCCGGUGGAGAAGAGGGGAAAUCGAAAGAACAAACCAGUUCUAGAUGAUAAUUCUCCAUUGCUACCUACUAAACAGGAUAAAGACGAGGAAGUUAACGAGUUUAACGGAGCUUCGAUUGCUGGGGCCGUAUUCAACCUCUCGACCACCAUUGUCGGAGCUGGGAUUAUGGCACUACCGGCCACCAUGAAGGUUUUAGGGAUAAUUCCGGGGCUUCUUAUGAUUAUAUUUGGUGCUUUCCUCACGCAGGCUUCAAUCGAGAUGCUAAUUAGAUCCAGCCGGGUCGGGAAAGCAACUUCAUAUGGCGAAGUAAUGUGUGAUGCAUUUGGAAAGAUCGGGCAGACAUUGCUUCAAGUUUGCGUGAUCGUCAAUAACGUUGGUGUGAUGACUGUUUAUAUGAUUAUCAUUGGUAUGAUUUAUCUAAUGAGCUUUCUCAUGUGCCCUUUAUGAUUUAUAAGCUAUUGUUUUUUAAUCUGUUAGGUAUAUUUGUUGUGACAUGAGUACACUGUAAAAUUAUUUGUAGUAUAUAGUUAAGGAAGAUAUCUAUAUACGAGAUGCUAUUAGAUGUCUCGUUGCACCCCAAUCAUGCCAACAACCCGAAUUUCUUCUUCAGUUAUUAUUAGGAUUUAUCUUCUGUUUUUUGAGCUUAUUAUAUAUCUAUUUUAGUUGAAUGUUCAUAUGCAUUUGCUGUUGUUCGGUUGAUCUGCUGUGUACUUUAUCGUGUUUUUUCAAGAAAUGCCUGAUUGUUGUUCCUUUAGUAGUUAUUUUCGAGCUCUAUUGUGCAGUGAAAGGCACAAUAGAUAUUCCUCGCUUCAUAAAUAAUUAUCAGAGAUAAUUUCUUCUUGAUAUUCUUUGCCCAUGCGAUACUAAUGUACUCUAGGGUGACUCAUGUUCAAAUUGUUUCUUUCUCACAAGGCGAUGUACUCUCUGGAACGUCUACUGGUGGUGUUCACCAUUUUGGCGUCCUAGAAGGAUGGUUUGGAGAGCGGUUGUGGAAUCAUCGCUCUUUUGUUCUUCUACUCACUACUGUUAUAGUAUUCACUCCCUUGUCAUGCUUCAAGCAUGUAGGUAUGCAUUACUGGUCUAAGAUGCGGAGUUACACAAUCCCCUCGUUUGCUUGUGUAUUUUGUGUUAUUCUUCUUUGUCAAGCUGAUGAAGUACGUGCGGUAUAUGUUCUUUUGCAGAUUCAUUGAAAUACACAUCUGCCGUCUCGGUUGCGCUUGCUGUGGUUUUUGUUGCAAUUACAGCAGGAGUUGCAAUUGUGAAGUUGCUUAGUGGAAGCAUUUCUAUGCCUAGAUUGUUUCCUGACCUACCUGAUUUGGCCUCCGUGUGGAAGCUUUUCACAGCAGUUCCUAUUCUCGUUACUGCAUAUAUUUGCCAUUAUAAUGGUAUGGAAGCUUGAAUCCCAAUUUAUUUAUCUUUGUUGCAAAAGUUUGGAGAAAUUUUAGAGAAAUAGAAUUUGCUGUUUGCACUUUUCCUUCAAACAUCAUAAGAUAAGUUUGAUCUUAGAUUUCAUUCUCUGCCCGUGUAUUUGUGAUGUUUGACCAUAGCACCUAUGGCAAAGGCUAACUUCAAUUUUAUCCCCUUUAUUCUGCACAGUGCGAUGGAGAAAGAUUUAUAAUGUUAUUCUGGUCAAAUCGGGUUAUUAUAGGAUAACCUAGGACAUCCAGAAUCCUGAAUCCCCUUUUCAGACAUUGUACAAGCCUAAGAUAGCAUUGUUUUUUUUUUUUUUUUUUUUUUUUUUGGCAGUUCACACUAUAGAUAAUGAGCUCGAAGACUCCUCGCAGAUAAGACCCGUUGUGCGCACAUCUCUACUUCUCUGUUCAACCGUGUACAUAACCACAAGCUUCUUCGGCUUCCUCCUUUUCGGCGAAUCCACCCUUGACGACGUCCUCGCCAACUUUGAUUCCAAUCUCGGCAUCCCAUACAGCUCUCUUUUCGACGAUAUCGUCAGAGUGAGCUAUGCCAUCCACCUCAUGCUCGUCUUCCCUAUAAUCUUCCAUGCUCUAAGGCUUAACUUGGACGGCCUCCUCUUUCCCUCGGCCCGGCCUUUAUAUAUCGACAAUCAGAGAUUCGCCGUUAUUACAGCCGCCCUCCUCUCAAUUAUUUUCUUGGCUGCUAAUUUCAUACCAAGCAUUUGGGAUGCCUUUCAGUUUACUGGUGCGACUGCCGCCGCUUGCAUCGCGUUUAUUUUCCCCGCGGCCAUUACACUCAGGUGAAUUUAGCAAAUGUAUUACUAUUCUGCACGAGAGGCAAAUAUGAGAAGUUACUAUCUCUAGGUUCUAUCUUUGAUUUGGGUAAAGUAUAUUAACUUUCGAUCGACUUAUUAUUUUUUUCCAGGGAUCGCCAUGGAAUUGCUACCAAGUGGGAUCGAGUUUUAUCUGUUGUCAUGAUUGUCCUUGCCGUGUUUUGUAAUGCAGUGGCUGUGUAUAGUGAUGCCUCUUCUCUCCUCCAAAGGAAGAGUGAUGCACCGUGAUCUUGAAUCGCAUUAUUCCUUUUUGACAGUGAUUUUGGUUUCCAAUGUGCAUACAGAGAGGUUGGUGAAAUUGAUUUGGAUACCCUGGUGAGUAGAUCUAAGUUUUUUUCAGUAUCCAAUGAACUUCUAACUGAAUUUCGUUUGCAUCACAUGAUUUUGGGUUUUUAUGUAAUGCUGCAGGUUUCAUUAACAUCUUUCUAUUGAAUUGACGACUUCGAAGACAUGGCGGAGUCGCCGCUGACGUGCUAUACCUUUUGUGACUUAAUUUUUGGCCGGUAUUCUUCUGGUAUACUGGAGAGAUUUUUUUUUUUCUCUUUUUUGUCUGGGUUAAAAUUCUUAUGUAUAACAACAAUAUUUAUCCUCAGAAUUUCGCAAGUCUCUGAUCGACUAUUUUAGCAGUCCGUUCACCGGUCCAACCAGUUCCGGUUCAGGUCUCGUAAAUCGGAGUAUUUAUAGAGUGGGAAAAGAGACUGAUCUUGUUGGUAACACAUUGGGAGCUUCUUAAUCUUCUGAGGAGAAAGAAUACAUGUGAUCUGCGCAAAGAGCGUGACGAGCAAGAAAAUGUUUGGUGUGUGUUUUCUUUUGAUUCAUAUGCCAUCAUGUGAAGUUUAACCAUCCACUGCUCACUUACCAACUCAGGAUUAAGAGCGAAUGAACGUGCUAAUGUGGUGUUAUGAGUGUCCCAGUUGCGUCUUUUAGACAAUUUUUUAUAUCGCUUAUGUAACUUACUGCUGGGUCUCUGUUUCUGCUUUUUAAAAUAAUUUUGUUUGUAUGUUACGCAUAAAUAGCGUUUUUUUAAGUUUGACUCACAUUGUUAAUCAUCAAGAACUUGAGAGCAAUGGUAGUUUGAAUAUAUUAACAUUGAAAUUCUGUCACCAAUACUCACAUUGUUAAUCAUCAAGAACUUGAGAGCAACGGUAGUUUGAAUAUAUUAACAUUGAAAUUCUGUCACCAAUAUUUAAGCUGCCCCCCCCCGACAAAAAAAAAAAUGUCGCACAAGCAAAAUCUUCUCGAAAGUAGGGAAAAUAAGCAAUUUACUCAAACUCAUCCCAAUAGAACUGCACAAGACAAAAAUACAGUUCCAUAAUAAUGAAUUACUUCGUUCCCUAUCAAUUACCUAAUUAAGCCCACCAAAAUUAGUUGAGCAAAGGCCACUUUGUAUUUCACAGUUUUAAUCAUUUUCCCAGCUCCAUCUGCCUAUAAUCAUUGCCUCACACCCUCAAAUAUAUUAUUCUCUACCAAAGAAAAAACAACAAAAAAAGAAAAAGAGACACUAGUCCUUCCAUGGAUCACUUUCAGCUCUGACUUCCGAGGGCUCGAUCACCUCCGCUUCUUCACUCGUAGAUUCCACCGCAGUUUCUUCAGCAUCCUUGGAUUCAGCGUUCUCGGAAUCCGAUCUCCCCCAUCUUCCACCGAGGGCGAUCGCCAUCAUCUCGUAAAUCUUACCACCCAAUUCAGCUGGACUAUCAGGCUGGAUUGUUUCCAGAAACAGAAGAGACAGUGAGCUGUUUUACUCAUCUUGCAGUUAACCGAAGAGUUUAAAUUUAGAGAGUCAGAAUGGGCUUACAGUAUAUCCACUGGAGAUCAAGGCUGUGUCGUACAACAAGUCGACAGCUCUUUUAGCUUCAGCACUAUCGGGUUCGUUCUUGCACGCAGCCUGCAAAGUAUUCUUUAUUAGUAUGACAAGAAUGGGCACAAAAUGUGUGGAUAAGCUUCAAUAGAUUAAGGUUUCUCUUCAGCUAAAAAGCUCAAUCUCAAAAUUUUUUAAGAAAACGUAAUCCUCUCACAUUCAAGUCCUUGAUGAUAGGAUGAUCUGGAUUGAUUUCCAAUAUUCUUCUUCCCCUCAUGAACUCCAAGCUAGAUGUAUCACCAAGAGUCUGUGCUUUCAUCAGCCUAUGAUACGAAAUAUGGACAAAUAUCAGAAAAUGGUAGGGUUUAUUUAUGAGAUAUGAUCGACUAUAUACUUGAAUCAAUAAUCAAGAGUCAUUACUAGUUCACCAUGUGAAUUAAAAAUAAACCAGAAAAGAAAUAUAACUGUACCUUUCCAUGUUUGCUGACCAUCCAAACUUCCCAGAAACAAGAACACAAGGUGAAGAGCUGAGCCGCUUAGAGACCUGGACUUUCGCUACUUUAUCUCCCAAUUGCUGCUUUAUCCAAUCACACAGCACAUUGUACUCCUGCUUGUUUUCUCUCUCUUUCACCUCAUCCUCAUCACCUGUAAUAAAUACAAGAUAACCUCAGAAACUAUAUCACCAAAAGAAGUUUCCAAGUAUAAAAUCUAAGCUUACAACUAUCUGUUGGUAGAGUUUUCACAAACUAACCCAAUUCAAGAUCUUCCUUGCUAAUAUCGACAAACUUCUUCUCUUUGUAGGUUUGCAAGUUCUGAAUAGCAACCUCGUCAAUUGGCUCCACGAGGUAGAGAACCUAGAGAGAGGAAAAUGUCAGUAAACAAGAAUCAAGUACUAAACUUUGUCGCCAAGAAAACCUAAUUGUGUGCUAACCUCAAUAUCUUUUUGGACCAGCUUUUCUAAAAACGGAGCAGUUUUGGCACUCUUCAGGCUGUCAGUGGCCAAGUAAUAGAUGGCCUUUUGGUUCUCACCCAUGUUCUCUACAUACUGAUCCAAACUGAUCAAAUCCUCCUCACUUUUCGAGGAGUAGAAACGCAAUAGAGGAGCAAGGCGUUUGUGAUUUCCAGAGUCCUCAAUACAACCUAGUUUGAUAAGCUUCCCAAAGUUCUCCCAGAAUUUCUUGUAAUCCUGCAAUAGAUCAAUAAUUGAGCGUGUCUCACAAAGCGCGCACACACAGAGAGCAAAUGAAGAUCCUUCUCACCUCCUUGUCAUCCUUUUCAGCAAUCUCUUGAAUCAUAUCAAACGUCUUCCUAACAAGUCUUUUCCUCAUAAUUCUUACCUGCAAAUAACAAAUCAAAUACAUGGAAAUCAAAAGGAGAGACUCACUUGCAGAAAUAAAAUAUGCAGAAGGGUGCCUUAAAUUCUAGGCAUCACUUACAAUUCUACUCUCUUGAAGAAUUUCACGAGAAACAUUGAGAGGAAGAUCAUUCGAGUCCACAACACCCUUCACAAAGCUCAAGUACCGAGGAAACUGCAAUUUAGAAUGAACUUAGCAACUCUUGCAUCAAUACUUCAUAACAGACCAGGGGGGAAAACAAUUGAAAUAAGAAUAUUUGAUGCUGUACUACUAACCACCGGGAUACUACAUCAAACUACUUUCUAUAAUCUCAAAGCCUUUCUGAGUCUGAUCACAUACCAGCUCGCCAUCGAAGUCAUCAGAGAUGAACACCCGUUUGACAUACAAGCGAAUGUUCUUUGUCUUGGGAUUCACAAUGUCCUCAUUGUUAAGAGGCGCCAUUCCUGGAAUGUAAAGAACGCUCCUAAAUUCAACCUCACCCUGUUUAAGCCACAAAUAGAGUCAAUAAAUCAUUUCCAAAGUGAAAUGAUUAAUCCCCAAAGGCAUUGAAAGCAAAUUCUAGAAGUACUCACUUCUGUGGUGAAAUGAGUGUAUGCAAGAGGAUCCAAGAACUCAUUGAAGGUCUUCUUAUAAAAUUCAUUGUAUUCUUCUUUCUCAACUUCUUUCGGGUUUCGCAUCUUCAGAACAGCAAGCAAAGAAAAAUUAGUCAGCUCUCCGCUUGGCCAAGUAAAUUUAUAUUGCUAAAUUUAAAGUACCCAAGAAAUGCUCAUUAAUGGGAUUUCUCAAGUAACUACCCCCGCUCCCUCCAACCUUAGGGGGGGGGGGAUACACAGAAAAAGAAAAGUUGUAUUUUCAUUUCUUUUGUCAGAUACUGAUUAAAACUUAGUCUUACCCAUAUAGGCUUUGUUUCGUUGGCCAAUUCCCAGUCCCAGUACUUCUCAGUGACGGUUUUCUUUUUCUUCUUCGUUUCACCCUUCCAACAGGUAGAAAAAUGCUAGACCCCAUCCAUAAUACCAAAAACUAAAUGCAAAGACAACCAAUUAUCAGCCUAUACCUCUGCUUUUGCCUCUUCACCUUCUUUCGGUGAUUCCUCCUCUUCAACCUGUCAUCAACAAAAUGGUGAGGAGGAAUUAAUAAGAUUCAUAAAUGAAAGUGGUAAACGUUUCAAGGUAUGUUUGGCUUGGCCAAAGCUUCAGCGAAAGCAUUGUCUAGUAUAAAGCUGUUCAGAAUCCACGAAAAAACCAACCUCCACUGUUCUUGAUUUCUCCUGCCAUGUGUAUAUAGGGAAGGAUACAAACUGAGAGUAGUUCUUCACCAAUUCUUGGAUUCUUGUGGGUUCCGCAAACUCAAACUUAUCAUCAGGCUGUUGAAGUAGGCUCAAAAUAAGAACCCUUUCAAGAAAAAGAGAGUAAUAAAUUGACAAAAAACUACAACCAGCAUACCCUUAAGAAGAGGGUAAUCUGAGUUCCACGUUUUAGCAUUUUCUCAGGAUCAGUCUCUUCUUUAAUGACAUAAGAGCUACUGUCAGCUACAGCUUCCCAUACGUAUUGCUUAUCUGAUUUUGGACUCUUAGUUGACACCACAACCUGUAAACCAAUUUGUAAUAAUUCUCUUUAAGCAUAUAAUUUCCUUCUCUUGUGAAAAAGUAAGAAAUGUGGAACUUCUUGCCUUCUCUGAAACAAGAAAAGCUGAGUAGAAACCAACACCAAACUGACCGAUAAGACCAUUAUCUGCACCAACAUCUUUGUUCUCCUAUACACAUAAAGAAAUGAAUUUAGAAUCAGAACAACAAGAACAGUAUAAAUUAGGAGUGCUGUAUAUUCUAUUACUGGAGAACACAGACUGCACCUUGAGAGCAUUCAAAAAUUUAGAGGUACCACUCUGAGCAAUAGUCCCGAGGCAAUCAAUCAGCUCUUCUUUGGUCAUUCCAAUGCCAGUAUCACUGCCAUUUUUGCAUAUAACAACUUAGUUACCCAGUCAAAUCUGGAAAAGAAAAAUUAAAUAAAGAAUAAUGGCAUACGUGAUAGUAAUGGUUCCAUUGUCUGGAUCAGGCUUUAUGCGAAUCUCCAGUUCACCACCAUCAGCAAGUAGAGAGGGAUCCGUAACACUCAAAAAUCUCAGCUUAUCAAGUGCAUCACUUGCGUUACUGCAAAAGACUUAUUAUUUAGAAAUUGGAAUUAAAGGAGCUUUAAAAUUUACAACAAUUAAAAGAAAUGAAUUAGUAGUAGUAAUUUUUUUGCCACAAUGACGGCUCAUACAACUAUAACCAACACGAAGGUUUAAUACUGACCUCACAAGUUCGCGGAGAAACACUUCCUUGUGGCUGUACAAACUAUGGACAAUCAAAUCCAAUAGGCGGCUAACCUGCAGAAAAUAAAGAGUACGAUAAGCAAUAUCCUAAUCUUUCAGAGACUACACAUUCCAAAUAUAAGAUUAGUAGAACUUUUAACUUCAGUGUUAUUUGAGACACCAAAUCUUUUGAGAAAGUUGUACAUUAAUUCGAGCAGACUACAAAAAACUGAAGGAAUAGCUAUAUAUAAGUUCUUCCAGUUAAUCAUCUAUAAGACAACUAAAAGGCAUAAAGGAGCAUGAUUAUUUCCAAUUCAGCCGUAUAUAAUAUCACAAAUUCCUAACUUAAAUUACAGAUUCAACCUUGCAAUUAUUGAUGAACUUGUCAUAAAAUCUCAACUUUUCCAUGAGAUAAUACACAAAGCAAAAGGAAGAAGUUACAUAACCCCAUCUCACAAAUGAUCAUAAGAACCAAUUGAAUUCCACCAACAAGAUGGAUAAUCCAGCAGAAGUCCAGUAAAAGUGUAAGCUUUCACCCAAAACAACUCAACAAUCACACAAAACAAGCUUUAUAAUCAACAUGAAACGAGAAUAAAAAAAGAAAAGAAAAGAAAUCACCUCAGCCUGGUACUCGAACUUCUCCCCAGAAGCCUCGUCGGCCUCUUUCUCCGCCACCGCCGCGUCGCACCUCACCACCAUUCGCCUCUCCCUCUUCUCCACCUUCCAUCUCAAACCCACAGGAUGAAACGCACCUCUAGGAACCGAAGAAUGGGGCAAAACCCAGCUCCGCAACCCCACUCCUCUACGAGCAUUUGAAGCCAAUCGAGAAGACGAAGGAACAAAAGCCGACGCAGAGGACGCCCCCAAGCCCCUGCAGAGAACCGGCGCCAUAUCGAAUCGAAACCCUAAGGAGCUUAGGAAACCCUAGAUUUUUAUCUCUCCGCCCCUUUUCUCGGGACGAAAUAGAUAGGGUUAGGGUUAGGGUUGGAGUUGGGACGGAGAUGGAACCGCUAAAACCUUAUGCGGGAACCGGGGGGUUUAAGAGGAAGAGAGGCAGCGUAUGCGGACAAGGAAGACGAGGGUUCUAGAGAAUAGGCGAGAGGAGAGCUCCGUCGUAUGUACGGAUAACCGCAUAGAAAUGUUUGUACGGGAGAAAUGCAUCUGGCGAAUCUUGAUCGUUGGUUCGAUUUCUUUGAUGAAAAUGAUGGAGUGUGGAGGGUCCACGUUAGAGCCUGCAUAGAAAGUUUUAUGCGGAUAGUUUGGGAAGAGAGUGCAUGUGUUUCAAGCUUUUCUUCUCAUUUUGACGGAGUUAAAAACGGAUGCCGUAUUGUAAGGUGGAGAUUCGGCCACGUCAUCUGAUAUUAUCCGUGAUUAUGCUUUCGAAGAUUCUUAAUAAGUGAAUGAAGGUUAGAUCAUAGAUGUUCAUCAAAAUUUAAUUAAAUUGGCGAAAAUUUUUAAAAAAAAGAAAAAUUCAACAAUCCCUUUCGUGUGACUUUAACCUUUUUUAAAAAAAUAAAAAUACUCGAAAACAAAAAUUUGGCCUGCUAGGCUUGGUUGUUUUUAGGUGAUUACUUAAUUUUUUGCUUGAUCCAGUAUGGUUAAAAAAUUCCUCAUUUAAUCCGGGCUAAAAUUUGCAUUAAAAUUCUCGAGUGCCUAAUAUCACAUUCAACAUAGGCGCAUGUAAAAUCAUUUAAUCUCAUGAAGGGCCAUUAAGAUCACCUGCCACAACGUUCAGUAGGCCCAUUCAGACUGUCAAGUCGCAACCGCCGAUCAGGCCCAAUAGAAGCCCAAUAAAACAAAAUGCGUACUGGGCCGUUAAAUAUAAAGUCGGAUGUUGUUUCAGGUACACUCCAUAGGGAGAAAAUGGUUGCUACUUGUGAUGAGGGUGUUAUUGUAUAAGGAGUUUGAUUCAACAUUUAAUCCUUUCUAAUCUAAGACUAAUAUAUGAGGGAUUGGCGAGUAAGGUUCGGGGCGGUGCUGGACAGUUUUCAUAGUGAGUCAAGUCAGUGUGUGCUUGUACACAUCCUCGGUCCAACACAAAUCUAGCCCAAUCUGAACCAUUGUUGGAUUUUGUUCAAUGCAACUUAUCUGUCAAUAAUACUUCCUAUUGACUUGGACAAGACGGCCGGCCUUUCAAUUACUGCAAAAUUGAUGUAAGAAGUUUUAUAGUUCUCUGUUGAUACAUGAGAGAGAGAGAGAGAAACUUCUGCAAUGCAUCUGGGCUUUCUCAACUUUUAGAAAAGCUUACUAAAACUCAAAAGGCAAAAAUAUAUGAGAUCACACCAACAACAGAUAUAUAUUCCCUUCAUUGAGAAACAAACGAGAGAUGUGAAAACAAAAGAUAAUCCAGUGAUGAGAAGACAAUGAAAUGCUUUUCGUAUUACUCCCAUUAUUUCCUCAUAAACACAAAGUGAACAUAUUCCAUCACCAUGGCAAACCAACCAAAUGUAAGAUCAAAUAUAAGGAAAAGGAAGAAUAAAUACAACCCAAAACCACGCACUAACCUCCUGUAAAACUCAAGCCCUUGAAGGAGAAUCUUUGAAACAGUCUAUGUUACACAAUCCCACUGAUCUGAUCAUCUCUCCAAAUCUGCCAUCAAUUCAUUGCAAAUAUGUUAAGAAAAAAAAAAAAAAAAAAAAAAAAAAAAAAAAAACCCAGUUAUUUUAAAAAGAGGUCAGUGAAAAGAGGGUUAAUUAUGUACAAAGUCCUUGAUUCUAGACCCUGAUUUUGUGAAAAGUCCUAGAGUUGAUUUUAACAAUGUCCCACAGUUCACCCCGCAUAACAAUUAAAUCCAUCGUUAAUCUGGGAAAUGAUGCCACAUCAGAAUCAAUAAUAGAGCUUGGUGAGAUAUAAGUAUUUUGGGACUGGCCAUGGCAGUGAAUAAUAGUGAUUUUUAGAUGGUAGACAAAUGAAAGGGCUCAACUGCUACAUAGUUCAGACUUCAGGGGAUAGGAUAACUUGUUAAAUUUUAAGUUGAGGACAUGAUUGAAUCAAAAUGAACUUCAGGGACUAUAUCUGUAAUCAACUGAAAUAAAAGGAAAGCAAUAUUAGCCUUGAAAGAUUUAUCUAACCGGUCAAUGCUCUUCCUUGGUUUUUCUGGCUGGUCCGAGUUAUCCUUCGCCAAGUCGGAAUUGUCGAUACUUUUUCUUGACCUCUCUUUUCUAUCAAUGCUCGAUCUUGGCUUCUCUCUGCGUUCUGUGCUUCGCCUGGGUUUUUCUCUGCGGUCGGUGCUUCGUCUAGUUUUCUCCUUGUCAUUUGUGCUCUUCCUUGGCAGCUCUAAUUGAUCUGAGCUUACUCUAGGAGUCUCAGAGUGACUAGAACUCUCAGUAGGUUCAUCCUUUAUUGCAGGUGACUUUUCUAUUGUUGAAAUAAAUCUUUUUAGAUGCCUUAUGUAUUCUGGGUAGAGUUCCAAAUUACAAUGGUUUCCUCCCUUGAUCCACAGAGGCUCGUACUUUUGCUGACAUAGCUCCCAAAGCUGUUUUCCAUGGGAGCAAUCAACAACUUCAUCAUCUGUUCCCUGCAAACAUAACAUAUACAUCAAAUGAGAAUAAAACAGAGAUACUCAGGGGAAGCUAAUUUAUUGUUGAGCUUGAACGAAAGUUUACUUGGGGUUAUAUAGACAGAAACAUUGGAUACAAAAUAAUCUCCCUUGAGCUCAUAAUAUGUGGAAGAAUCAGAAGAAGGAUAGGUGACAGAAACUUACAUGUAUUACCAACACGGGACAUUUCACUAGGGGGAUUUUAUCAAUGUUCUGCAAAAGCAAAGAGCAUUUACUAAUGAUUUAUCAACAGAAGAGUUUGAAAAUUCUCUAAAUUGUAGAGAAGAAAUUGGAACCUUAUAUAUGUCAAACCAGUAUGUUCGUUUCACAGGGUACAUUACACGCAAUCCAGAUAAUAUUGGACUAUGUAGAAUUACAGCUCGCAAACGAGGCAAACGAGUAGCUAAAUCCAAAGUAGGACCACUACCAACCGACUGGCCAUAUAGAACAAUAUCUUCUUCUUGGGUUCCAUAAGUCUCCACAAGGCAUUGAUAUGCAGCCUCAAUAUCUGCAUAAGUAUUAUGCUCACUUGCCUAGAAUUCAAGAAAAAAAAAAAAAUGUUAUACACUGCUUCUUUGAUAAAUGAAGCAUCAAUUAAGAAACUCCUAAUACUGCAUUAUUAACCUUUCCAGAUGAUUGUCCAUAACCAGAAUAAUCAUACCUGCAAAAAGAAUAGAUAUAGAGGUUAAGACACACGGGUGAAAGCAAAUGUAUGGACAGUAGUAAUGGAGUGAAAAGCAAUUUAAAGAAGCCGAUAAAACUAUGGCCAAUACAGGAGGAAAGGUAAAAAUAUUCAUGUAUCAAGUUUUAAAGCAUCGAGUAAAUUUGUUGAUCUAAUUAACCGCAGACAUUAAAAAUGUUUAUCUAUCAUAAGAAAGGACAAAAAGGUCCCCUACUUAUGCAUCUGACUUAAAUCUGAUGUGAACGCUCACCUUCUGCUUUAAUAUUUUAAUAUGGGUGUAGCAUGAAAUGAUGUGGGGUACAGGAAGCAGAACAAAUAGAGUUAUCAUGACAGAGAUCUUUCGGCCGUAUCUGUAGAAUUAUGGCAUUCAGACCAGAUAACAAUAUCAUGCAUUAAACAAUUUUACAGCACUUAAAAUAGUCAUUAACAGGCACAAGUAGAGAUAUUAUUAGCAACAGUUGUUAGUGUUGUCUUGUAGGAGCAGUUUUGACAUCCAAAUUCAUAAGUUGAGUGCCAUGCAUGAUGCAUAAACCAUUGAAAGAUCAUAUUGAUAGAACAUUAAAUAAUAUGGAUCUUCUUAUCACUGAAUAUAUAUAUAUAUAUAGAUAGCAAUGUGGUAAAUACCACAUAAAAGCAAAUCCACUCAUCAGCAAUGAAGGCAAUGCAGGGCAGCGUCACACAGUCUGCACUGGUUGGGAAUAGCUUCUUCACAACUUCCAUUUGUUCGAUCUUGAUAUGAAGCAUUUCAAUUAUGCUGCGCAAAAUCUAGUUAUACAAAAUUUGCUCAACUAUGCCGUAAUUGUGUCCAACAAUUAAUAGUAUGAGAAAUGCAUAAGCACUUCUAGCAUUGAGGAAAAAAUCCUGCCAACUUCGCAUAAGCAUCAACAUGCCAACUCAAUGGAGCAAGAUGGUGCAUUGUCUAAGAUGGGAACAUUCAACUGCAAACUACAGAUUGAAGCAAGAAGCUUAGCAAUGAGAACACAUCACUGCCAUCCCAAUGCCAAAAUAAAAAAAGCUACUUGUCAUGUUUCACAUAUUAUUGUUAACAUAAACUCUUGUAAGUUGAUUCCACCCAUAUCAAACCAAGUAUUAAUAAAGACUAUAUUUCUAUAUUCCAUGGACAACUUAAUGAAUUUACAAAAGAACAAAGAAAUGGUCUUCGCUCUUUCGGAUUAGUCAACAGAAAUAAAAUAAUAAUAAUAAUAAUAAUAAUAAAUAAACUAGGACAAGUACCAAAUGGAAAAUCCUCACUUCGCCAACAAAAUUCAAGUUUGAUAUUUACCUCAAUCGUAAAAAUUUAAUGAAACUAGACCUAAAGAACAGUAAAGAUCAUCAAAAGGAAUCUACCGUACUCCAGCAAGUGUUAAGGACAAGGACAUCCCACCUAAUGCAAACAACAUGUUUCGCAAUUGGCACCAAGCGAUCAAAAGAAUCACCAAAAUCCAAACUAAAACCUAGAAAACGUACCAUUCCCAUGCAAAAAUAACAAAAACUCCCACCUAACCAUUUCCACAAGCAACCCAUAAACAUCAAAACAUCCCUUUUUCUACAUCAGAAUCGAAAAUCCAACAAAAGGUAGAAUCCAGUGAGACGGUAGGAUUCUCCUUACCCCAUCAAGUUGACGCGGAGGUGAUUGCUUAGCUCGACGAAGAGCUCGUACAUUUGGCCGAGGUCCGCCGCAUUGCCAUGGGAAUAGAGCACGGCAAGCUUCGCCGCGGGGUUCUUCACGUACAUGGCCACGAUCUCCGUCCCCCGCUUCGUCUGUAUCCUCCGCACCUCCACCCCCUCCUUCCUCGGCACCUCCGUCAUCACCAGCCGCCCAUCCGCCUCCGCCGCCACCCCGUACGACGGCGGAUCCGGCGGGUAGAAGGCGAACUUCGCCGCCAUUGUCGACGUGACCCCUCCCAUCUCCCCCGAUCGGAUCCUACGCGACCGCUACUCCCACCUCGCGGGGAAUGAGAUCUCGCGCGGAGCCGCGAUGUACUCACGCCGAGGCGCCCCCCUCGCCCGCAUCGGGGGUUAGGGUUUAGGGUUUGUGGAUUCUAGGGUUUCGAAUUUGGAAACGGGGGUUACCGAAGAGGAAAUUAUGCGGAGAGAGAGAGAGAGAGAGAGAGAGAGAGAGAGAGAGAGAGCGAGGGGGCGUGGGACGAAGGAGCGAGGGAGAAGAGGCUUUUCAGUUUAUAUUUGAGUUAUAGAGGACGCAAAUAAAAAUUAAACAAAAGGAAAUAAAAAAAUUAAUUAAAGAUAAUUAAAGGGAUUAAGAAUAAAAGAAAUUAAAAAGAAAUUGGGGGGCGCUAAUUAUGGUGACUGGAUUUUUCUCAAACUUGUAUUAUGGCAGAAUUAUUGAGCUUAACUUCUUUUUCGGAGUGUUUUUUUUUUUCUCUUAAUAGAAAUUUCUUUCUAAUUAAGGGGUGAAUGAAAUUUUGAAAGGAAUAAUUAGGGCCUAAUCUCUACCCUCUAACUAUAAGAGAAACUUUGAAUGGAAUAAUAUAAUCUUCUGAUCUUGCAUAUUUGGUUUGAAAAAAGUUGACAUUGCCCAAACCGCGAGCAUUCUCGAGUUCCGCAAACUCGCGAGUUCGCUGAUCCAAACUCUAAAUCAGUAAAUAAUUAACCUCUACAAUGAUGAUUUACUUUUUUAUUAUUAUUAAACAGGGGUUGUAACAAAGCAAAUCAUCAAACCAUAGUAGCUUAGUCCAUCCAAAAAGGCACAAACAUAAUUUGUGAAAAUUAUAUUGUUUCCUUAAGUGGGGUUAUAUAGUAGUACAUGUAUGAGUGAGCUUGUUUUCAUUGGAAGUGAUUAAAUUAGCAAUGAGAACCAAGGUAUCUACCAACUGCAUAAUUAGACAACAAUAAAUUCCCAUUUAGUGAGCAUGGCCCACAAUUGUACUACAAAACAAGGGAUUUAAAGUGUAAUGAAAUAAAUUAUCAUGACCUAAGAGCAUUUGUUUGUUCCCCUUUAUGAAAGUUACUUCCAUUCUCCUAAAUAGACAUAUUAAAAGGAUCAAACUAUAAGGUUCAUCCCUUUUACUAUCAACUACAGUUCUUUUCUUCGUUAGAUCAUUCUAUUUAAGGACGAAAUGUACGAAUAGUUCCUGCACUAUCCAGAUAAAGUGAUUCGGUUCUCGUGCUUUUCUCAUAUCGAAUUUAGAAAAAAAGAAAGAUGAGUUACUAAUUGUAAUAUGGGGAUUGUAAGGGGACUAUUCAUAUGCUUUACGCCUUCAAAUUAACUAGCCGUUGGAGGAGACAGGCACCGGACAGCCGUGUGUAUGAGAGCGAAGAUGGACCCGUCAUGAAUUGAUAUUUCCGUUCGUCUUCGCAGUUUUGCUUCUCGCGGACAACUAAAUCCAGCUCACCACUUCAUUCCCCCUCCCCCGUCCUCUACUAGUUUAUUUCUUAUCAUUUAUAACGUGCUUGUUUGACGGAAUAGCAAAAAAAAUGCAGCUUAAUGACCAUUAAUUUCGUAAAAUAUUAGUGGCGAUUACUAGGGUUAACGCUGUUUUUUUUUAUGACCACUGAAAUUUUUCGAUAGAGGUAGUUGAUUUCACUAUCCUCUAGCAAGAUUCAGAAUUUUUUCGACUUCUAAUAAACAGAUAGUUUUGUUGAUACUAAUUUUCUGUUUAUUUUGGAUGGGUGAUUAAUGCAUGUAAAUUAUCUCGAUUAUGAAAAGAAUAAACUCGAAGAUAUUUAAAGACGAGAGUAAUCCUCUAUAGAAUGGAAGCAGCGAAACAGGUUAUAGGAAUCAAUCGAGCUCAACAACCCAACAAUCUCAUUAAAAUACAAAGUAGUUUAUUGAUAUUUUCCGAGAAAUGGAUCUUAUAUUCGGGUUAGAUUUUGACUAGCUUACCGGGUUUUGACCAGAACUUUUCUAUCAUUAUUCUUUACAAAUUAAUUUUUAUUAGAUUUUAACUUGUAUGAUUAAUUUAAUCAUUAGUUGAGAUAGUGUAUUAUAUUGUUUAAAUUAGCUUUUUGGGGGUUACAAUCAAAUGCGAUUGAGAUUUGAGAACAGGGAAGAGACAAAGUAGUGGCUACUCUUUUUAUUAUUACACUUGAGAGAGUGAGAGAGAGAGAGAGCCACUUUUGGGGUUUUGACCCGAAAAUCUCGUGCGCGUGACACCGCACCGGUUAUUAUGAAUGCGCUCACAAACUUUUCUCCUAAUCAUACCAAAACUAAAACCUCCUUUUUUUUAAUUUCUUUUAUUUAUUUAUUUUAUUUUGUGGACGCGCCACGCUCUCUCCCACAAGCGGGAAAAACGCGCCUUUUCAAAUGCUCCAGAAUUUGUCCGACACGUGGCACUCUAUGAUUGGUGGAACGAGCGGAAAUGUCGGAGAUAAAUUGAUCGUGCGUCGUGUGCACGGGAAAGGCGAAUUGGGCCGUUGGCCCACCCAGUAAUAGCCCUUCAACUUGGCCUAUUGGCCUAAUUGGGCCUGGCCCAGGCCCAUGCUUCCUCGAAUAUUUGAAUUUUCUUUUUCUUUUUUUUUAAAAAAUACUAAACAUUAUUAUGUGACUGUGAUGAAUACACUUGUUAUUUGUGGCGUAAGGGUCUCUCGAUUUUGCACAAGGAAUGUUUAUGUGCAUAAAGACAUGUUUAAAAUUUACUAUAAAUGCGUUACGGCUUCGACCACUUUAAAAUUGCAAUACAAUAAAGUUAGUUAACUAUUCUUACAACCACUAGCCUACAAUGGUUAUUAGUUCCAGAAUCACUCUCAAUAGUAUCGCGCAAAUGAGACAUCUAUAAAUUUACUGUAUUGUAAUCUGUAAAAAUCCUUUUUUUAUAACUUUGCGAGCUGCGAGGCACUGAUCGGGAAGCAAUCGGUCGAAGAGGGACUGUAGCACUUCCUGGCGAUUACGGCGUUGGCGGCCUGUGUAGGAUGAAAGGAGUCCCAGAAGAUGUAUCGGUCGCGAUCGGAGCACGGUGUUUGCAAGGGGAGGCAACUCACCGCUCCUCCGAACCUGCCAUUCCCACAACAAGCUUGGUUGUUCUUCGUAAACCCUAGAACCGAUUAAAAGUACUUAUAAGGUAUUUGAAUUUUGAGCAGAUGAUUUCGCAGUGGUUCGUGUAGUAACUCACCGUAUUUUGAAGGAUUUUUUAUGAUGUCGUAGAAGGAGUCGUAGGUGUUCUCGUAGACGAAGAACGAACCCGGCAGAGUCGAGUUGAGCUCGAGCAUAACUGGCACGAGUCGUUUGUUGAACGCCAUGACCAGCUCGUUAAUCCGUUCAACGCACGCACCCGUGCUGUUGUUUAUGGACAAUUGACUCGGUAUGCACCCGAGCGGUCCGAUCCCCACCAACAACAUUUUCCUGGCCCCCAAUUUGUAUAAGGCCUACAUUAAAUAAAAAACCAAUAAUUAAAAUUUAAAAAAAAGACCAUUUACACACAAAAACUCUCUUCAUUUAUGGUCAAAAUUGUUAAAUAUGCAGGACUAAUGAAAGCUCAAGAACAGGUAGUUAUUUAAUUAGUAAUUAGAGCAUGAUUUGUGGAUUUAACUCUUCGAAAUUGGCACGCGUGGAUUUAACUUUUCUAAAACAUAUUCAAGAAAUGUUGAAAAAAAAAAGAGAGUAAAAUGUAAAAUAUUUACUAAUAAAUUUUUUUAUUUUUCUGAUUGUUACGCGAGAGUAAAUAAAAUUCACCACAAAAAAAUCUAGAGAAUUUAGGAAGAAAAACGUAACUGCUACAUAGGACCUGAGAAUUCUAGACGCAUAACAAAAGUGAUGGUCCUGAACAUUUAAUACACAUGAAUAAAAUUUUUAUGUGAUAAGGUUGGUGCCAUAAAUAAUAUUAUUACUCAACUCGAAAAGAAAUUAUUGCUUGGACCUAAUCUACCAUAUCAGUCGUGGACCAUCUAAGUUAUAUGUUCCUUUUAGCUUUCGCUUCGUUGGGCAAUCUCUCCAAAUCUUUAUUGAGUAAAAGUCAAAAUCGAAUCAUGGUUGACGCAAAAAUGAUUUUGAAAUCGCACGGGAGAUCAUCAAAUUACUGAGCGGUCCACGACUAACACGGCGGACCGCGUCCACACAAUAAUCUCUCCAAAUCAUUAUUAUUGAGGAAAAGCCAACAUUGAAUCAUGGUUGACUCCUCUCCUCUUGGGAGUCUCACAAAACUAACUCGAAGAGGACACCCUUUUUAAUUUAUGUGGGUCCAUAAUAUGAGGAUCAUUUAUAACAUACAUUGUACAUGAUCGAUUACGUGCUUCAGUGAAUCCACAGGCAUAGGCGUAGGCCAAUUAAAAUUUCCAGCUGCGCAUUCUGACAACGGUCAGAAAUUUUCAAAACUUAUAAACAGUAAAUAACAUGACCCACUUUCAAAAAAAAAAAACAAAAAUCAAAAUUCAUAGGUUUUAUCAUAAUCAACUAAAGUCCCGUUUGAUCUAGCUAUACAUACGCAAAAACAGAAGUUUCAAUCUAGAGUUUCUGUGCAACAUACUCGUACGUAGAUGUGCAAAUUCACAUAUAAUAAGUGUGCAUAGUUUAAAAUCUAAAGGAUUAAAAGUACUAGAGAGCCUUUGUAAAAAAUAAAUAAAUAAAUAAAAUUACCUCUAAUUGCGUGGCGAAAUUUGCAAUGAGUAGUUGUGCGAACUCAUCCCCAGAAUAAGUGCGGCUACUUGUGUAUAGAUUAGGAAGGAGAUAGUUGUUGAUGUAGUCAUUGCUCCCAAUGUUGAUCACAAAUAAAGAGUUUGCGAUAUACUGAGACAAUGCCUCUGAAUUUGGUAUCAGUAGUGGUAAUUGUAGCAUCAAUGUCUUAGCAAAUAACUCUAUUUGCCCAUUAAAUGUGACCCUACUCCCCUGCCAAAUUAUGAAAUUUUUUUUAAAAAAACCAUGAAUAUUGUUACCAAAUAUUUGAAGACUAAGAACAAAUAUUAAUUUCAUAAACUAGGUAGAUGUUACAUAAUUCCGCCCCGUGUCGUCGAGGAUUCCUGCUGCGGCCGAAGCGUAGUUCACCCCUCGCAAGAUCGCUGCAGUCCCCGACGAAAGACUCAAAUACGGCGGCGGAAACUCUAGCCCUAAAUAUCUGGCUGCGACAAACAAACAAACAAACGAGCAUAAAUUUUAAAUGAAGUUUGAAAUAAGCCGAAGUAAGAAAACCUUUGUUAGUUUGCUGAUUCAUACCUCCAUAAUCCGUCACCGUUAGGCCGUUGCAGAACCGACCGGUCGGAAUCCCGACAUCGAUACCGUAAGGGAAAUAAUUCGCUUUCGCUAUCGAAGGUAUAUAGUUAUUGUUACCGUUGUCGAUCAGCGAGUCGCCGAAUAUGAACAUGGCCGUCGAUGCCGCGCUCUCCGACACCCGAAAAAAGCAUAUGAGGGCCAAAAAGAAGAAUGUAACAACACCUCCUUUGUCCAUUGUUGCAGGGCUUCUUUGCAGCAGCAAAAGCUUUGUGAGUGAGGAGAUGAGUGUGGUGUAGUAGUAGUGUUAUAAGCAUUGUGGCAAUGAGAACGUGGGAGAUAGUUUGGGGGGUGGUUACAUGUUACAAUCCUUUUACCAUUUUACUAUGGUCUAAAGUGAGAAAGCUUGUGGAAGUGUUCAUAUAAAUUUUUGCUAUAUUAUCCUUCUUUUUAAGGGGCAAUUAAUACCACCUAGUAUGGGAGAGGGGUAUUAAUUGAAGUGUGGCUCCUCAAAAAAAAAAGCUCAACAAGUCAUUCAAAAGAAGCGGGUAGUGUGCUACCUAUCUUCAAAAAAAAAAAAAAAAACAAGCCAUUCAAAAGGCUUUGAUUCGCUAGGGUGUUUCAUACAUACAAGCAAGUGUGAUUCCAAGUUAUGGUGAAAUUUAAUUGGUGCCUCUUUGGCUGCAAUAACACUUGGUUGGAUCUAUAUAUAUAUAUAGAGAGAGAGAGAGAGAGAGAGAGAGAGAGAGAGAGAGAAAGAGUAGGGCUGCUGUGCUCUCAAGAGCACGGAGGCCUCCGUGCUUCUGAGUCAUUUUCGAUGAUGGAAUUUUCGAAUCGACGAUCGGCACCGUUAGACUUGAUCUAGAGUAUUUGCAGUAUCUAGAAAAUAAAUUUUGCGAUUUUUCGAUAUCAUUUGCCUAGUGAUCGAAGUGGCUCAAAAUCAACGGCUGAAAAUAGAAAUCCUAUAAAAAGUGGUGAUAUAGCACGAAAAUUUUCGAUCAGAAAUAUUGAUUUGUUGUAGAUAGUAUAAGAAUUUUUAUUCAAUAUUUCAUUUGAUUUGAAUACUUCUACACCGUUAAACUUGAAAACAGCAAAUAUCAACCAUUAAAAAUUAUUGAUUUUGAAUUCUUUCGAUCAUUAGGUAAAUGAUAUGGAAAAAUCGCAAAAAUUAUUUUCUGGAAACUUCAAAUAUACCUAGAUCAAGUCUAAGUGCCGAUCGUCGAUUUCGAAAAUUCCAUCAUCGAAAACGGCUCCAGACACGGAGACCUCCGUGCUCCUGAGACACGAGCCCUGCUCUCUCUCUCUCUCUCUCUCUCUCUCUCUCCUCUAUAAUAUAUAUUAGAGUUGAGUUAGAAUGCUUAUCGAUAGCAAACGCACUUUUGCACCCAUUUGUUUUCAUGAUGGACCUCCAAAUCGACAAUCGGCACCGUUGAACAUGAUCUAUACUACUUAAGUAUUUAGAAAUCAAAUUUCAAAUCUUUUUGAAUAUUUGACUAAUGAUCAAAGGGUUUCAAAAUUUGUAAUUUAAUGUGGUCGAUAUGAGACGUAUUUCUCGUUUAACGGCGUAAAGAUAUCCAAAUCAAUUGAAUUUUUGUUAGAAAAUUCUUUAAACUAUUUAAAACAAGAUCUAUACUCUUGAUCUUGAUUACAAGACUCCUAUCAUCAUUUUUUUAAGAAUAUUCAUUUUCAGCCGUUCAUUUUUGUGUCCACUCGAUAGAUAAGAGAGCAAUAUCGAAAAUAUAUGAAAUUUAAUUUCUAAAUACUUCAAAUGGUAUAGAUCAUGUUCAACGGUGCUGAUCAUCAAUUUGGAGGCUCCAUCAUCGAAAACAAAUGGGUGGCAAAAGUGCCGGUUUGCUAUCGAUAGUAUUCUAGCUCAACUCUCUCUCUCUCUAUAUAUAUAUAUAUAUGAAAAGAGAAAUAUUUGCCAUUAAAAGGCUGUGAGAACUUUGGCCUGGUACUUAACGCAAACUAGGUGUGCCCUGAUUUCUUUGUAACAUUGAAAUCAGAUAACGACCGUCCCUAGAGCAAGUGGCAAAGGACCCUAGAGCAAGUGGCAAAGGACUUGGUGGUCGGUACCCGAGGUCCCAAGUUUGAAUCCUACUUGAUUCACAUUUCCAGCUAAAUUUAUUUCUAAAUGAAAUAAACGAAACGGGUAACGUGCUACCUAUCUCUCUCAAAAAAAAAGGCCCAUUAGCAGCCCUGUUUGUAAGCUGGCAAAGUUUAUCAGAAGAUUCUCGAAUCUCAACCGUUAGAUUAUGCCUUUUCAUUUGAUUGUUAGAUUAUUACUACUGAUUGAAACUAAUUCUAUUCUUUUAAUAAAUAACAAGAUCUACAAACAUACAAAAAGUUCGCACAUAACAGGAUCGAAAAAGGAAAAAAAGGAAAAAAAAAAGAAGAAAAAACUGCGCUCUCCGGCAACAUUUAAAUUCUCCCACUUCACACACAUAGUAUAGAUAGAUCAUUAUUAGCAAAUAUCAAUUGCUAGCUCUUAGAACCUAUCAAAUAAAAUAAAAUAUAUAUGCAUUAAUUAAACAAUCGAAUCUUAUGGCCAAAUGUUGAAAAAAGAAACCUUCCAUCCAUAUUGCUUGGGCGCGAAUCUUGAUGACACUGUCAAUUUAAUCUGACUUUUACUGUGCCUUGGGUAACCACAAACUUGGUAUUAAGUUAAUCGAUCAGAGUGAUGAGAAUCUUUAAGCUUUUACUGUAUAAAUAGUAUUGAUCUCUCUCUCUCUCUCUCUCUCUCUCUCUCUACAAUGUGACAAAUAAAAGCAACUCAAAUCAAAGUGAACCAAUCAUAUACGAACACGUGUUCACUGGUCAAAGCAAAUACUUAGGUCAACUUCAACAGUGAGCCUCUUCACACUCUGAACAAGCUGAGACAUUGUGUUCAUGUUAUUUUACUUUGUGCACUCAUCUCAAUAGAUGGGCUUUGGCAUCAAAGAGACAUAAAUCAGCCCUAAAUUAAAAAGAUGUACACAUGGUUGGAAGUUGUGUCCAGUAAUUUUACAGCGCUUCUAAUUAAUGAUACGUAGUUAAUCUCAAAGACUACUUAAAGGCUGGUAAUAUACUGACAACAAUAGCAGUGUUAGGAUUACUACGAGACGAUAUUUGAUGGAUAACAGAACUAGCUUAAUUUUUUAAAAAAAUCUUGAAUCUAAUUUGUCACCAUUUAAUGAUAUAAACCCUAUUUAUUACGUCUUUGUAAUCUCCUAUUAGAGUAUGCCGAUUGAUUUACAGGAUGUAUAUAUAAAAACACUAUCAACACAUCAGGCAUCUAUGAAACUUGUACAAAGAGUAAAAACCUCAAGCGUUGCCCACGAUUUUUUGAGAAACACUAAAAAUAUGAGAUUAUAACCAUCUAUCCUAGGUUUGCAAUUCUCAUACAAUCCUUUUUUGGAUACAAAAGUACAAAAUUGCUCAAAUAGUUAGUAGUUGUUACUUGUGUAUUCCUAAAACCCUUGGUUAUAGCAUUUUGUUCACUCAUAAUCGAUUAUAUUUGCCAAAAUCAAGGAUCUAUAUGAAUUAUAUAUGCCACAAAAAUUUUAGAAAUAAAACCAACAUUGUGAGGGCUAUGCAGUUUGCAUAUUUGCAGGGGUGUAUAUGCAAAAGACACACUAUGAAAGUUAAUUAAUCAGAAGCAGUAGUUAAUUAAUUAAGAUGGUCCAGGGGGACAGUUAAUUAGUUAUAUACUUUAAACAAGAAAAAGAGACAGGAAGUGUUGGAAUCCUAGCUUUGACUUCAACUAUGGCUUUUUUGACUUUCUCCUGCAUAAAAACCCCACUUUACCGCUUCCUUCAUCUCUUCUCCUUUUGCUUCUGCUUCAAAACAAACUUAAAUUGAGUUUAAUUAAUUAGGUAGGUCAUGGGAUGUUUAAGUUCCACAAGUGCUCUUCUUGUGCUUUUGCUCUCUUUGCUCACUCUUAUUAGUGACUCCACUGUUGCCAAUGCUCACCACAGUAAGUGUUAACUUUUCUCUCAUAAUUGUUUUCAACAUGAGCACAAUGCGAAAGUUUAUGGUCUCCUUUGCAGUGGUUGGAGUAACAGCUAUCAAUGAGAAGAGCAUGGGUGAACAUAAGGUUAGUUGGUAUAAUAAUUAGUAUUCUUCAUACUCUUCUAUGUUUAUAUGUAUUUGUAUAGUUUUUUUUUUUUUUCUUUUUGAUAUGAGCUCGUUGACAGAAACUCGAUAACGAGGCUUUGUCGAUCGCGAAAACAAGGACUAAAUGGCGGAGAGGAAGGAAGAUGGGUGCAGCGAAUGUGGAAAGAAAUGUUGAAGAUGCAAAGGGCUCAAGCAAUGCAGUUUCAAACAUAAAAACUGAGAAAGGAGGGAAAGAAGAGUUGAAAAUAGUGGGUGAGUUGAGUGGUAGAGUCCUAAUUCCCAGGGUCAAAUUGGUUGGUCUGAUACCUUUCAGUUCUGAUUACCAUUUCCCCAAAAUUCACCCCCCAAAGAACAACUAAUUACACAAAGGUUCUUAGUUUGCUACUUAACUCAUAGAAUAUUUAUUAGGCUUCUAUUUUUUUUUCUGUUUCUUUUCUUCUGCUUCUCCAUCUUGUGAGUGUGUAUGUAUAUAUAUAUAUAUAUAUGUAUUUACUGUGAGUAGUGUUCAAUUUUUAUGACAAAAGGAGAGAGCACUCACCAUGUACUUGUUAUAUAACUAACUUUAAUGUUAAAAGGAAUUAAUUUUUUGAAACUAAGGAUCUAACUAUGCUGCUUACUGAGAUUGGUUAUAGUCCAAUUUGAUCACUUGAUUUCCUGAUUGCUGCAGGAAAGUCUAGUAACUCCUUAAAGAAGCCAGGGAGUUCAUCAACUAAAUAUAUACCUGCUAAGGUAUAUAUAUACAUAUAUAUAUCUCUCUCGAUCUCGAAAUUUGAUUAUACUAUCUAAUUAAUCUGAAAUUGUCAAAUUAAUAUUUAACGUUUUCUGUAAAUUUCUGAUUCAGGAAAAGACCAACAAGAUUAACAUCAAACUGAUCAUGUCUGGUCCAUCUUCUACAAUGGCAGUGAAACCGCGUAAACAAACUGAUGCAGCUGCUGAGAUGUUCAACAUGCUUAGCAGAGACUACUCAUGGGCCCAACGUCGGCCGCCUGUCAACAAUGACGCACCCUUCCGCGAGAAACCCUAAGUAAUAUUUAAAAGAAACGGUAAAGAAACAUACGAAAUCAAUCUGAACUAUGACUCGUUUUGAAUUACGUACUAUCCGACCAUUAAAACUUUUAACUUUAGUACCUAUUUUCUCGGUUGUUUUGAUUGAUCAAUUUGGUUUCCUAUAACAGAACUUGGGGCAGUGUUAUUGAUGUUUUAAGAGAUUUAGUUAGAAGAUCUUAUUUUAUUUAUGUGCCCAGAUCUGUUAAAGGCAUAAAAAAAGAUCAAAUACCAAAACCCAAAUUUUUUAAAAGUUGGAUAGUUAUUGAAAGGGGACAUAGUUCCCAUCAUUCAUAUGCCUUUACCAAAAAAAUUUUGCUGCGACAUGGCUUCUCCCUAGCUAGCUAGUUACAUACAGAUAACUGUUUUAACUACAAAUACAAUAUUAUAGAGGGGUUUAUUUUGUUGCAUUAGUAGGGAUAGGCAAUUUUUUGCUGUGAAGUUUUGUACUAAAUAUUUGAUGCUUCUAAACAUUUUUGGUUUAGAUUUUUUUUUUUUUUUUUUUUUUUUUUUUGGAUUGGAUAUGAAAGUUGUAUCUUACUUCAAAAAAGGAUGUGAAAGUUAUAGAUGCCUAUUUCCAAAGUUAGAUAUGUAGGUUGUAAUAGGCCCAGGGGCCCGAACUAAAGUAUAACAAGGCUGAAUCAUAUCUCAGGCCUAUUCAGCUCUGCACAAAAGAGAUUAUUUGGGCUGGAUUCAAUCUUGCCGUACGAUUCAAAUGGUUUUAUGCACAACAUGUUCAACUAUUUAAAAAUUAAAUUUUAUAAUUUUUCAAUAUUACUAGCCAAGUGAUCGACCAGUCACCUAGACCGAUAGAUGCUGAGAUAGGGAACAAACUCACACCGUAAAUCCGGCUCAAGGCGGACCAAACCCGCGAUAAUAUAGUGUUCUAAUCAAGUUACUAACUUUAAAUCUCCCAUUUGAAAGAAAAUUCUAAAAAUCAAAUCCUAAAACUCUCAACUCAUAUCUUCUUCUCCAAGCAAGAAUAAUGUAAGCUAAGGUGGUUGUCUUCUCCUACUCAGAGCUUCUCCUCAAUACUCUUGUUGUGCUGCCCCAUUUCGUAAAGAGUCAUGCAUCCUAAAGCUACUCUAUCUCUAAUAUGCUUAGCCUUCUUAACUUUUUAAUUAUCGAUAGAGAAGCAGAACCUCCAAAAUUCCAAAUCAAUAGCAGCUAUCUAAUCGGCACAUAUUACAAUACAUUUAAUUUUUUAAUGUUUGAUUGAACUACCAAGUAAUAAUUAGAGUACAUGGGCUUAAUUUGUUGAAGUAACCAAGUUCUCCUCCGCAUCAGUAAUUCUUUCCUUUGAGCUCGUUAUAACAAUUCCUAACGAUUCAGGUUAAUAAUAAAACGGAAUCGUUCGAAUACGAUUUAGUAAAAUUAUCAUUUAUUAUUGUACUGUUUUACUUACCUAUUCAGCGAGGAGCAGCAGUAGUAGCAGCAGCAGCAGGGAGGGGGAGAUCCAGAUCCCUGAUCUCUCUGAUCAUGUCCUCCAAGUCCGCGUGGGAGCUCCCCCCCUCGGCCACCGCCUUCUCGGCGCUCCGCCGCAGCUCCGCCGCGCGCGCCCGCACCUCCGCCGCCCAGCCUCGGUCGUCCUCCGCCACCGCCUCGGCCAUGGUGCGCGCGAGCGCGGCGGGGUCGGGCACGGCGGCGGCGCCCUCGGCCACCCGGACGGCGACGCCGAGCCCCUCCACCAGGAGCCGCGCGUUCACGAACUGCUCGGCCUGCAUGGGCCACGCCAGCAUCACCGCCGCCGCCGCGCCCGCCACCGCCUCGAGCGCCGAGUUCCACCCGCAGUGCGUCAGGAACGCGCCCACCGCGCCGUGGCCCAGCAACUCCGCCUGGGGCGCCCAACCCCGCACCACCAACCCCAUCGUCUCCUCCUCCUCCUCCUCCAACCCCGCGGACGCCGACGAGCCCCCGAGCGCCCACACGAAGCGCGCCCCGCUCAGGCGGAGCGCCGCGGCCACCGCGCGCGCCUGCGCCUCGGAUGGGGCGUACUGGCUCCCGAAGCACACGUAGACGACGGAGCGCGGGGGGCAGGCGGCGAGCCAGGCGGCGAGCUCGGCGGCGGGGACGGAGCUGGCGCCGCCGCGGGCGCCGGGGGGCCCGGUGGGCUUGAGGGGCCCCACGGCCCAGACGCGGCGGCCGAGGGCGCCGCUGCGGCGGAGGUGGUCGAGGAAGGGGCCCUCGAGGGCGUGGAAGGUGUUGAUGGCGGCGCCCCAGCAGAGGGCGUUGGCGAGGAGGGAGUCGCGGGCGAACUCCCAGUCGGGGUCGCCGCGCCUGUAGCCGCGGUUGAGGGAGGGGAGGUGGGCAUAGGGGAAGGAGGGGGCGGUGGGGAGCGACGGGAAGGAAUGCGGGUCCCCGUCGGCGGCGCUGGGGGGGUGGAGCCAGAGGUGCUGGAUGAGGGAGUCGGCGAAGGCGCCGGAGGAGAAGAAGGCGAGGCGGGGGACGGCGAGGUCGGCGGCGAGGUGGUGGGUCCAGCCGAGGAAGAAGUCGGAGACGACGAGGGAGACGGGGGGCCGGGCCGGGUCUAGGGUUCGGGCCCAGGAGAGGACGGCGGGGCGGAGGAGGGAGAGGGCGCGGAUGAGGGAGGGGGCGGAGGAGGGGGAGGGGAGGUGCCGCACGUGCUCGGCUCGGCCGGGGCCGCCGCCGCCGCCGGGGAGGGGGAGGACGAGCGGGGCGGCGGCGGGGGUGGCGGAGAGGAAGGGGCCGAGGAGGGGGAGGUUGAGCGGCGUGACGACGACGGUGACGACGAAGCCGUAGCG
rnacentral:lncRNA from 1 species